AGAUAGAUAUGUUAAAGUCCAAUAAGGGAGCUCUUUUAGUCUAUAUUUGUAAAACCUAUUAAUAGUUACUAUUUCUUUUUGAUCGAUGUAGUACAAGUUGCAAUAAUAUCAAAAUAAAGAACUGGAGAAGUUUAAAUUCCAUGAAACCUGGUAAAGAGCGACACUUAUGCAUUAAUGCCUUGCAUUUCGAUAGAAUUGAGUACAACAAUAACAAAAUAGGGAUGCUACCUCUUAUUACUAACUAAGCGCCUUGCUGAUUAUGUUUUCAGUAACAAACAGAAUUAAGCAUAAGAACUAGAAGACCUCAUCUGCAAACUUAAAGCAUUUAAGAAGAAGUAGACGAUGCCUACCGUCACUGACAACCACUCCACCUAGCCCAAUCGACGAAUUGCAUUCCUCCGUAAAUGUUAUUGGCAAAGCGCACACCAACUGUGAAAGCCAUUGCAACGCUUGGAACACGCCUGGCUACUGGUGAUGCCUCAACUAAGCGUUCCAGUCCAUUAAUGAUCUGGUAACGAGUAUUUGAAGAAACCGCGAGAAACACUCCUGCAAAUAGAAACAUACUAUUCAGGGUUUUGAUUGCGUUUGCUUCUACUACGACAUAAGAAAACACAGAUCAAAGCAAAUGUUUUCCUGCAAGUAAUUUGCUAACAUAAUCCAGCAAGCAUAAGAAAUAACCACAAACUGUGGUUUGUAUCAUUAAUAUUCCCAUAUCAGUGGCAAAGAUGGACAUGAAGAUAUGGCUUUCAAGUUACAAAAUAUAGUGCAAGAGGUUUUUUUAAAAAAAAUCACCCUAGCAAAUAUAAUAUGCAGAAGUCAUUAAUUUCAAGAAUUCUGAAAGAGCUGUUUGGCAAAGCAUGUUUAUAGGAAAAUUCUGAAAAUCAAGUGCCUAAUUGAUCAUUUUGGUUUUGUAGAGUCAAUAGGAAUUCAACUAUGAUUUUCCUAAAGUUGAUAAAAUAAUCUUCAGAAAAAAGAAAAUAUUAAGGAUGAAUGCCGUGCAUACCCCAAAGAGCAGCACUCUUUACAAGAGGUGGAACAGGUAUAUCUUCUUCUGAUUUCUUCACGCUCCUGAGGAAAAUAUAACAAAAGAUACUCUGUAAUUAAUUGCAAUACAAAUGAAAAAAGCGCAACAAGCAGGAUCCAAGUCAAUUUUUCUUAUUUAGUAAGGAAUCUAGAUUCUGGUAGUGUUUGAUAUAAGCCAGACUUAAGCUGCAAGCUAGCAGAGACAAUCCGACACACGAGAAAGCUAGCCCAAGAAAAGAAAAAAGAAAGAAAAGUAAAAACACUAUGUCCAGAAUGCAACUAGAAAUUAGUCAAGUACUCCAAUAACCUUCAUAAGUAUAUGGAGCAAAUAAAUGCUAGCAGAUAAAAAUGUUAUCUUUUACAAGGUUAUCAAUAAGCUAAAGUAAAACAAUGGCAUAUGUAACUAACAUUAUUUUACACGUAUACACAAGUAGAACUGAAAACAAGUUGAGGAAUUUACCUUUUGGCAGUCAUUAUCAAAUUGGCAAUGCCUUGCCCAAUAAGGCCGCACAUGAAUCCAACCGAACCAUAUAAAACACCCUGCAUUAAAAUGGUAAAGCUCUCAUUAAUGUGAUAAACAUCAAGAAACAUGCAACUAAAGCUUCUUGAAGAAUCAUUACAUAUACAAAUUGAAAAAAAAACAACUGCAUAUGAGAGCAACAAGAUUUCUUAGUCAUUGAAAUACCAUACCUUACAAAAGUAUGUCCCAAUCCGUUGUUGAACUGAAAAUCUGCAUCCUGGCCUUUCCGCUUCAAAAACACUGCAUCAAACAUUUGGAUCUCUCAUGAUAAAUUAUAGAUGUAUAAUCUGAUAGUUGAUGAAGGGAUUUUAAAUUAAACUGCAAUGUGUCACGAGCGAAAGGCAGAAAAGAGAAGUGAUUCCAGAAAAAAUAUUGUGCCAUCAAUGAGAACCCAGCUUGCUAGAUAGACAGCCCAGUUAAAUGAUUGUGGUUGCCAUGUUAAUUGACAAAACUAAAAUUGGUUACUGCAUACCUGCUCGGCAGAGUUCCGUAAGCAUGUCUGAUACGUCCAAGAAGACCUUUUGAAGCAGAUGGUUGACCAAAGCGUGCAUAAGGUGCCAACAUACCAACUAAAGCUACAUUAACAACUAUGCCUACUAAUAGAUCUGCUGCAUACAACUCAAACUCUGCCCAGAAAUCCUUGCCCCUCUUCUGGAUCUCAGCAAAGGUUGCACAGCAAGAGUCGAUAACUAUCUAAAGAAUUUCAAGCCAAAAAAGGUAAAAAAAAAAGGUUACUUCCCAAACAUUCUUGAGGUCUUAAACAUCAUGAUGAAUAAACUAUCAAAACCUCUGUUCCAACUUUGAAGAGAAAAGAUGGGUCAGCAAGCAUCCGAUUUCGAAGAAGUGAACAGUUCCUCAUUGCAACACCCAGUGGCCAAUCUGAUGCCUUUAUUUAUACAACAAAGACAAAGAAGAGCUUAUAAUACAAUAACAAUUGGAUGCCUCUAAAUACAAUAAAGUUUCAUUUAUGGCCAAUCACAUAAGUAUGUACCUGCAUUUCCAAGUAUCUGUAUAGAAGAACUUCUGGAAUCCCAACUGUUUUUGCAGCUUCCAACAUGUCGGAUGGAAGGCGGGCCCCACGUGCCUCUACUUCUUUCAUCACCUCCUCGAAAUUUAAUAAUGGCCCAAAUUCAUCUCCCUCUUUCUUAUUCUUUUCAUCACCAUUAUCUCCGCCGCCGCCACCCCCUCCUCCUCUAGGCGGGAACUUACCAUUACUACCGGAGCCCUUAGAACUAUCAGGGCCUCCAUUUCCAUAAUCAAUCUCUGGAUGGUAGUUUGACUUUGAAAUGGUAGCUUCCUUAUUUAAAGACGCAUCUCCUUCCUCCACUAAAAUGGUUUUUUCUGUUACACUAGAAUCGACUCUUUCCGGAGGCUGCAACUCACCAGUAAUUCUAAUAUUCCAUGUCCUCUUUACUGAAAAAAUAUUUGCUUUUAAAACUAAACUAGAAUGAACAAAAGGGCUUCUUUGAAGACCAUGUACUCUAACCUCAGUAACUACAUAUUUGCUCAGGCACUUUGUAUACUUGAUUCCAACAGAGUCAUCAGCAGCUAAAUAAGUAUGAUUGCAUGAUCUUAAGCUCAAACAAGAAAAUGCCAUGAGCUUCCUCAACCGAUUCGAAGAUCUCCACUACGUAACAACCUAAAAACAGCCUUUUUAACUCAAAAAAUGGCUCUUUGAUUCCCAAAAGCCCUACAAAUGUACAUAAUAUAAGAGUUACGAGCACAUUUUCGAUUACUUAAACUUGAAAGCACAGUAGCAAGCGCUCGAACUAGCUAAAAAACACCACAAAUAAAACAAAAAAAAAAAGGAGACUUUUGCGAAGGAUUUGAAGCAAAGGAGCCACUCUUACCUUACCGCAGCAGGAUCUUAUGAGAUUCCGAGAGAACCCUAGUUAGUGAAUCGAUUGGAUGGACGAGAUUUUGAUGAUGAGUAUAAGCGUAAACUCGCGAAAUGGGAGGGAGAUGGAAUUAGGGUUUCGAAGGGGCGACGCAGCACGAGAGUGGAGGUUGGAGAGGCGUUUCCACUACUUUCCGCACGGUCGCUCGCGGCGGCUUGGGGGCGGGAAUUAUGCGGCCACCCUAUUGGUUGGGAAUUGGGCCGGAUUCGUAGGGCCCAUAAAAAUUGGGCCGUCAUUUGCUAUGAACGUUGCUCCUAAUCCAAUUUCUACUCUUGCCGAGUCGAUGUAAAGUCGGGGCUAUCUUCUGUUUCGCCGCCGACUUCUAGGAAACGGCGCUAGAUCAAAAUAGUCGCUGCCGAUUCGCACGAACAGAGGUGUUCCCCAGUAGAGCCUUAUUUUGUAAAAAAAAAAAAAAAUUGUACACUUUCAUGAAACCUUAUUUUCUUGCUUCAAUUUUCAAUAUAAUUGACUGUAUCUAGCACCUAGGCUAAGGGCUUGACUAUUAUUGCUCGAGAUUUCAAAUUAGAAGUUUAGUUGCGAGCCUUUACUUGAAAACAGAGUUAAGUUUUAUCAAUUUUGUAGGGUUUUGAUGUCUUCUGAAGAUGAUCAAAGCGCUUGGUACUUCAUGUUACUUUGUAAUGGUUCUUUUUUGUUUUUAUUUUAGCUUCAAGGAGUGCAUUAGAAUCUAGAUGUAGUUUUUUCUAAGGAUAAUUGCCUAUAUAUCCCUCAUACGUUUGAAAAUAUCCGAUUUACCUUUGCUUUUUUUUCUUUCUAAAAUACCCCUCAUAUGUUCCACCGUUAUUGCAAAAUACACCCGCAAUUAUCUCCUGUUAAAUUAACUUGAAUUAAACGUGAGUUAAAUAUCUACCACAGUUUAAAAAAAAUUAAAAUAUCAAUUUAGCCCUUAACUUAAGGGCAAAUAAAAAAUGUUGAUGACGGCAGAAGGGUAUAUUGGAAAAGACCAAAAGUCAAAAUAUUUUUUGUGUCCCUGACUUUAAGGACAAAUAAGAAAGUCAGUGAUGGUAGAAAGGUAUAUUUGAAAGGGCAAAAUAGUAAUUUUUUAGAUAUAACAUAGUUAAUUAAAAGAUUUUAACUCUAGGAAUAUAUUAGAAAUAGGUUGGAACGUAGAAAGGGUAUUUUCAAUAUUAGCCUUCUAAGAGGGAUAAAUCGAAAAGUCGGAAACUUUUCAAGGGUAUAUAAGCAAUUGCCCUUUUUUUCUACUUCAAUUAAAUCCUGGUAGAAUCUUUCUUAGUUAGAUUAGUUCUUCGUCUUUACUGACAUUUCUACAUUCAACAAAUGAUCACCAGUAGAACUGAAAAUUACAACAAAGAGAGUUUCCGCCUCGGAAUUCUUUCUGUUGGGUAGCUGUUCCCGUCACGUAAUUUCUGAUAAUUAAUGAGUUUGAAAUUUCAGCUAUCCAACUUAUUUCAUUCUUACAAUCUUAAGGACAACAUAUAGAAGAAAUGUCAUUUUAUGUCUUUCCAUCUUAAAGUAUUUGGAGACUAUUCCUAUAAACUCAGAUAAGAAUGGUUAUUGUUCAACCUUUAAGUAUAAGGCUGGAACUCCUUGGGGUCCCACGAUUAAAGGUGCAAGAAAGAAACGUGCCUUAUGAAUUUUCUAAGAACAUGGGACAUAGCUGGCAUAAAAUUCAGAACAUUGAAGCAGAAUCGCGCUAGAUUCUUGACUUGAUUCCAUACAAUUAAUUCCACUUUCCAGUCCUGCAUAUGUUUUAGUCCAAACUACUACAUCACGAUAAGCAAUUUGCCGGCUUAAGUGCACAUUAAUCAUAUGUUCCGUGUAAUUCCACUCUACGAAAAUCUAGUUGAAUGAAGAAUAAUGUCCGUCAAGCCUGUGUGAACGGCGAAUGUAUGGAUAUGCCAAGAAUUCGAUGAUGUUACCGUGUUACCAUGCAACUGGCUCAUAGUUUUUCAUUAACGUGGUUCAGUUCACAUCAGUCAGGUCGGAUAUAUUUUUCGUUGGAGGCUCCACAGAAGAAGUCAGCUGUCAAAGCUGAUUGUCAUCUGCAAUAGCUAGGAGCUAAAUGCUAAUUCAGCUUCCUAUCCAUUUCUAUGAACAUUUGAGAGGGGUUUGUAUAUAUCAGAAAAAAAAAGGUUUUGUAAAAACAUUAGAACCUGGCACUUUGAGAGUACAGGGUUUUAUAUUCUGAUCCAUUGCUGCUACAUGUCCAGCACAAAUACAUGAUAUACCAUGAGCGGUUUGUCUCCUCCUGCACUCCUCACCACUCUAUUUCUAAUCUUUGCUCUCCCUCGUUAUUUGUGUACGACAGACCAUGCCUAUUUGCAGCGUGGAUCUUCCCUCUCCGUAGAGGAUAACGCCGAUUAUCUGAUCUCACCAGAUGGAGCCUUCCAGUGCGGUUUCUACCAAGUUGGUUCAAAUGCCUUCACCUUCUCAAUAUGGUUUGUUAAAUCAGCUGACAGGACUGUGGUUUGGAGCGCAAACCCUAACCAUCUUGUAAAUGGCAAAGGAUCUGCCGUUACGUUGAGGAAAGACGGCAAAAUGGUUCUAACUGAUUACAACGGCGAGGUCAUUUGGGCCACCAAUACUUCCACUCCUGCCAAACAUGCCCAGCUGUUGGAAACUGGUAAUCUUGUCAUCAAGGACUCGAGUGGUGAAACUCUCUGGCAAAGCUUCGAUUCUCCCACUGAUACUUUGCUGCCUACUCAACCCAUCACCGCAAGUACAAAGCUGGUAUCUUCUAACCAAUCGCUUUCCCCAGGUUACUAUAGUUUUCGUUUCGUCGAAAACUAUAUACUCUCACUCACAUAUGAUGGUCCUGAACUUUCCGACAUCUAUUGGCCUGAUCCUGACAAUAGUGUGUGGGUAAAUAAUAGAAUAGCCUUCAACAGUAGCAGGUACGGAAGUCUUGAUGACUUGGGUCGGUUUUCUUCAAGUGAUAAAUUUACAUUCGAAGCUUCUGAUUUGGGUCCAGGGAUUAGGAGGAGGCUAACUUUAGACUAUGAUGGUAAUCUUAGGCUGUACAGCCUCAAUGAAUCGGAUAAGAGCUGGUCGGUUACAUGGAUGGCUCUUUCGCAAAUUUGUGAAAUACACGGUUUGUGUGGUAAAAACGGGAUUUGCAUGUAUGCUCCUAUGCCUGCAUGUUAUUGUCCUCCUGAUUACGAGAUGACUGAUCCUAGUGAUUGGAGCAAAGGAUGCAAGCCCAAGUUCAAGAUGAUUUGUGGUAAUUCUCAGAAAGUGAUUUUUCAUCCACUUCCUAACACUGACUUUUGGGGGUCUGAUAUGGAUUACAGCACGUCCAUAUCUUUCAUGCCUUGCAAGAAGAAUUGCACGAAUUCUUGUUCUUGCGUAGCUUUCAUGUAUAAAUGGGGCACAGGAGAUUGCUAUCUAAAAGCUGCCCUCUUCAAUGGUAAGAACUCUUCUGCAUUCCCAGGCACGAUUUACCUCAAAGUCCCCAAAAAUUUAACACUUUCAAAAAACUCUGUUCCUCAAGCACGUAAUCUUGUUUGCAAUGCAACAGAAGCAGUAGUUGAUUUAGCUUACUCUGACAAGUCUAGCACAAGUAGUGAUAAGACAACAUGGAAGUAUUUUUAUGGGUUCAUCUCGGCAAUUUUCGUUAUAGAAGCACUUUUUAUCAUUUCUGGAUGGUGGUUUAUUUUCAGGAGAGAGCAGAAACCGUUAGAAAUAGAGGAAGGAUAUAAGGUAAUAAGUAGUCAGUUUCGAAGAUUCACCUACAAGGAGUUGGAAAAGGCUACUGGGAAAUUUAAGCACGAGCUUGGGAGGGGAGGAUCGGGCACUGUCUAUAAGGGAGUACUUGAUGAUGAGAGAGUAGUCGCCGUGAAGAAGUUGGAAGACAUAAUACAAGGAGAGGAAGUAUUCAAAUCUGAACUACUUGUCAUAGGGAGGUUUAACCAUAUGAAUCUAGUGAGAAUGUGGGGAUUCUGUUUGGAACACUCGCACAAGAUGUUGGUAUUUGAGUAUGUCGAGAAUGGCUCCUUGGACAAGAUCUUAUUCAGCAGCGAGAGCACAAAUAGCUCGCUUGGGUGGAAGGAAAGGUACAAAAUUGCAGUAGGGGUGGCGAAGGGCUUGGCUUAUCUUCACCACGAGUGCUUAGAAUGGAUUAUACACUGCGAUGUGAAGCCUGAGAAUAUAUUGUUGGACCGAGAUUUUGAGCCCAAGANGCAGUUUUCCUUUUUAUAGUAAUUAUAUCCAUCUGGAGGAAUUGAGCUAUAUUUGCAAUCAAAAUGGCCCUAGCUAAAAAAAAAAAAAAAAGAAUUUUCCCUCUCUUGAUAUGCUCGUUUGCUCCGUUUAUGCCCGUUUACCGCAAUUCCUUGCAAACUACUUACUGCAAUUCUUUAUGAUCGGAAUUCGACCAGCUUAUUCAUGCUAUAAAAUUUGCGUAAUGUUGUUUCUUUUCAAUUUAAUUUCUGCAAAGAACUCCAAUAAUAGUAACCUCGGGCUAAUAUUUAUGACACUUCUCAACAUUCUAUUUGGGCAAUUUAAUUUUUCCUUAAUUUGAAGCUUUUUAAGGUCCAACAAGAAAAUGCCAUGAGCUUCCUUAACCGAUCCGAAGAUCUCCACUAAGUAACAACCUAAAAACAGCCUUUUUAACUCCAAAAAUAGUUCUUUGAUUCCCCAAAACCCCACAAAUGUACAAAAUAUAAGAAGUUAAAAGAACACAUUUUGAUUACUUAAACUUGAAAGCACAGUACCAAGAGCACGAACUAGCCUAAAAAACCACCUCAAAUAAAAUAAAAAAAAGAGAGAGAGACUUUUGCGAAGGAUUUGAAGUAAAGAAGCUACUCUUUACCUAGCCGCAGCAGGAUCUCAUGAGAUUCCGAGAGAACCCUAGCUUGUGAAUCGAUUGGAGAGACAAGGGCUUGAAGAUGAGUAUAAGCGAUUAAAAUUUGCGAAAUGGGAAAGAGAUGGAGUUAGGGUUUCGAAGCGGCGACGCAGCGCGAGAAGUGGAGACGAUGGCGUGCGCGCGAGCUCUGCACGGUUGCUCGCGGCGGUUAUGCGGCGGGAAUUAUCAAUUAUGCGAGCAUCCUAUUGGUCGGGACUUGGGCCGGAUAAAUUAGACCCAUAAAAGACCAUUAUAGAUUUUGGGUAGCUAUUGGGCCUAAUCCAAUUUCUAGUUUUCUACAUGGCAAAGUCGGGGCUAUGUUCUAUUUCGCCGCCGACUUCUAGGUAAGGACGCAAGAUCAAACAGUCGCUGCCGAUUCGUAUGAACGAUCGCCUCCGUGGGCUCCGCGUAUCCCCUUCCCCUUGUACUUUUCGCUCGAAACCUAAUUUUGUUUGCUUCCAUCUUUACCAUUAUUGUAAAGCACGCAUUUACUUAAAUUUUUUUUUAUGUUUUUCUUAUGAUUUCCUAGCACAUUCGCUUGUUUAGCUUUUUUUUUUUUUUUUUUUUUCCUUUCUAUUUUCUUGUUAUUUCUUAGCCGUAAUUUGCAGUAACUUUACUUGAAAAUAGAAUGAGAUUACCAAUUUUACAGGGUUAGAAUGGCUUCUCAUUUUAGACAGAAGAUGAUUAAAGUGCUUCGUACUUCAGGUUACUUUGUAUUGGAUUUUUUUUUAUAAAAAAAAAAAAAUAGCUUCACUUUGGUUGGGUAUAUUGACAAAGAGUAGGAUACUUCAUUUCGAAUCCUUGUAGAGUUCAAAAUAAAUUUUUUUCAAAAGUAACAUUUUGCGUAAGAUCUAUUAGAAGAAGGGACUAGUUUAGAAACAUUCCUUGCCCCAAAUUUGGUUGGAUAUAUUAUCCAAGCUUAACAUAGUGUUGGCAAAAUCAUUCAUGGUUCUCUACAUAUUGGCAAUUUCUUUCUUAAACAAGCUCCAUUUUUGAUGAUUUAGAUUUCGCUUACGUUACUUCGCAUGAGAGAGCUCAAAUGAAACAGUCGGUCCGGUGGUUUGACAAUUACAGUCUUCCAUUAUGAUUUUUUUUUUUUUUUUUUCUGCAAGAUGAUGGCAAAUUGGUAAUCGAGCAGACAUGUAAAAAGAUAAAAACUCUCUUCUUUUGUUAUAACUGUUUACUUCGAUGCUUAGGCCUCAUUCGAUAUUGUUGCGAAUUUUUUUUAUUUUUCAGACGCAAAUUCUAUGCAAUGGAGUGUGCAGCUGAUGAUGGAGCCAGUGCUUGUAGUCUAUUGGUGAAACAAUGGAAAACUUAGUAGUAACUGCUUUUCUUUUUAUUUUUCUUUCUUUUUUUCUUUUUUUUUUCUUUUUUUUUUUGAGAAGAUGCCCUUUCGGCGUCAGGCUAGGUUGCAUUGCAAUUUGCAAGCUAGUCAACGGUGACAAGAGUAGGAAAGUCCAUCCUUUGGCACUCUCAAACAAGUAAAAUUUGCAUACAUUAAAACAUAGAACGGCGAAGAUACCGAGAAAUUGUUUUCACCCUUUUGUUGCUUGCUUUCUUCUGCUGCUAUGAUGCUGCAGGCAGCGGCAUGUAUACAAACACUACCAGCGCAGUGGCUGGUACGAUUAUUUCUUGUUGAGCUACUGAUUAUGCUUUAGGUGUUUUCGGCAGAUUUUAUUUGUUUUAGUUCUUCAAUGCUUCAUGCAGAUUAGCAACUCCCUAUAUAGAGUACAUGAGUAUCUAUAUGUUGUUUGUGCUUUCGUGCAUGCAGAUGUGCCUGUUAAGGGAUACAGAAAACAUGGUUAUGAAUAUUCUAUGUGGUACUAAAGCCAAACUGAUUAUUUUUUUUAGAAGGUUCGUCAAUAUGUGCAUUAUUUUUUUCUUUCUCAGUUAAAUCCUGGUAAAAUCUUUCUUAAUUAUAUUCAAGAUUCAACCAUCAGUAGAGCAUGAAAGUUCCAACAGGGAGACUUUAUUGCCUCAAAAAUCUGUCUUGGAUAGCAAUACCCGUUAGAUAAAUUCUGAUAAUUAGGGAGUUUUGAAUUUUUGGUUAUCUACCUUAUUUCAUUCUUCUAUUUUAAGGACAAAAUAUAGAAGAGGUGUCAUUUUACAUUUCGCCAUCUUCUAGUAGCUGGAGACUAUUCCUAUAAAUUCAAUUAAUUAUUGAUGUCCAACCAUUAAAGAUAAGGGUGGAAUCCCUUGGGUGUCUAGCGAUUCAAAGGUGCAAGAAAGAGAGAUUUUUUCUAGGAGACAAACACACCUUUGAAUUUUCUAAGGAAAUUGGAUAUAAGCGGCAUAGAAGUCAGAAUUUUGAAGCAGAACCAUGCUAGAUUCUUGCGUUGAUUCCAUAUAAUUAAUGCUGUUUCUUAUCCUGUAUACGUUAGUUCAAACUACUACAUCACGAUAAGCAAUUUGUCGAACUUAAGUGCACAAGUGCAUCAUAUCUUUUAUGUAAUUCCACUUUAUGAAAACCUAGUUGAAUGAAAAAUAAUGUCAUUCUCUUCCUGUGUAUGGAUAUGCCAAAAAUUCCAACUAGUGUUACCAUGCGACUGUCUCUUAGUUCUCCCUUAAGCUGGUUUUGGUUCACAUCAGUUAGAUCGGAAAAAAUUUCACAUGGAGGGUCCACAGAUAAAGUCAUCUGUCAAAGCUGAUGGUCUCUGCACUAAAUGCUUGAAUAAUUCAGCUUCCUAUCAAUUUCUAUGGACAUUUGAAUCAGGGGUUUAUAUCUAUCAGAGUAAAACUUUUAAGCAGGCACUUUGAGAGCAAAGGGUUUUUAUAUUGUAAUCCAUUGCCACUACAUAUGCAGUUCAAAUACUUAAAGACCAUGAGAAGUGUAUCUCCUCCUGCACUCCUUACAACUCUAUUUCUCAUCUUUGCUCUCCCUCGAUAUUUGUGUAUGACAGACCAUGCCUAUUUGCAGCGUGGAGCUUCUCUCUCUGUAGAGGAUAACUCCGAUUUUCUGAUCUCACCAGAUGGAGCCUUCCAAUGUGGUUUCUACCAAGUUGGUUCAAAUGCCUUCACCUUCUCAAUAUGGUUCGUUAAAUCAGCUGACAGGACUGUGGUUUGGAGCGCAAACCCCAACCAUCUUGUGCAUGGCAAAGGAUCUGCCGUUACAUUAAGGAAAGACGGCAACAUGGUCCUAACCGAUUACAACGGCGAGGUCAUUUGGGCCACCAAUACUUCUACUCCUCCCAAUCAUGCCCAACUGUUGGAAACCGGUAAUCUUGUCAUCAAGGACUCGAGCGGUGAAACUCUCUGGAAAAGCUUCGAUUUUCCCACCGAUACUUUGCUGCCUACUCAACCCAUCACUGCAAUCACAAAGCUGGUAUCUUCUAACCAAUCGCUUUCCUUGGGUUACUUUAGUUUUCGUUUCGUUGAAAACUAUAUACUCUCACUCACAUAUGAUACUCCUGAACUUUCCGACAUAUAUUGGCCUGAUCCUGACAAUAGUGUGUGGGUAAAUAAUAGAAUAGCCUUCAACAGUAGCAGGUGCGGAAGUCUUGAUGACUUGGGUCGGUUUUCUUCUAGUGAUAAAUUUACAUUCGAAGCUUCAGAUUUGGGUCCAGGGAUUAGGAGGAGGCUAACUUUAGACUAUGAUGGUAAUCUUAGGCUGUACAGCCUCAAUGAAUCGGAUAAGAGCUGGUCGGUUACAUGGAUGGCUCUUUCGCAAAUUUGUGAAAUACACGGUUUGUGUGGUAAAAACGGGAUUUGCAUGUAUGCUCCUAUGCCCGCAUGUUAUUGUCCUCCUGAUUACGAGAUGAGUGAUCCUAGUGAUUGGAGCAAAGGAUGCAAGCCCAAGUUCAAGAUGAUUUGUGGUAAUUCUCAGAAAGUGAUUUUUCAUCCACUUCCUAACACUGACUUUUGGGGGUCUGAUAUGGAUUACAGCACGUCCAUAUCUUUCAUGGCUUGCAAGAAGAAUUGCACGAAUUCUUGUUCUUGCGUAGCUUUCAUGUAUAAAUGGGGCACAGGAGAUUGCUAUCUAAAAGCUGCCCUCUUCAAUGGUAAGAACUCUUCUGCAUUCCUAGGCACGAUUUACCUCAAACUCCCCAAAAAAUUAACACUUUCAAAAAACUCUGUUCCUCGAGCACGUAAUCUUGUUUGCAAUGCAACAAAAGCAGUAGUUGAAUUAGCUUACUCUGACAAGUCUAGCACAAGUAGUGAUAAGACAACAUGGAAGUAUUUUUAUGCGUUCAUCUCGGCAUUUUUAGUUAUAGAAGCAUUUUUUAUCACUACUGGGUGGUGGUUUAUUUUCAGGAGAGAGCAGAUACCGUUAGAAAUAGAGGAAGGAUAUAAGGUGAUAAGUAGUCAGUUUCGAAGGUUCACCUACAAGGACUUGGAAAAGGCUACCGGAAAAUUUAAGCACGAGCUUGGGAGGGGAGGAUCAGGCACUGUCUAUAAGGGAGUACUAGACGAUGAAAGAGUAGUAGCUGUGAAGAAGUUGGAAGACAUAAUACAAGGAGAGGAAGUAUUUAAAGCUGAACUAAGUGUCAUAGGGAAGAUUAACCAUAUGAAUCUAGUGAGGAUGUGGGGAUUCUGUUCGGAACACUCGCACAAGAUGUUGGUAUCUGAGUAUGUUGAAAAUGGCUCCUUGGACAAGAUCUUAUUCGGUAGCGAGAGCACAAAUAGCCUGCUUGGGUGGAAGGAAAGGUACAAAAUUGCAGUAGGGGUGGCGAAAGGCUUGGCUUAUCUUCACCACGAGUGCUUAGAAUGGGUUAUACAUUGCGACGUGAAGCCCGAGAAUAUAUUGUUGGACCGAGAUUUUGAGCCCAAGAUCACAGAUUUUGGAUUGGCAAAACUGUUCCAGAGAAACGGGUCUGAUCCGAGUUUAUCAAGGAUUCGAGGGACUAGAGGUUAUAUUGCGCCCGAAUGGGCGUCUAGUCUUCCCAUCACAGGGAAAGUUGAUGUCUACAGCUACGGGGUAGUGCUUCUGGAAUUAGUGAAGGGACUAAGAGUUUCGGAUUGGGUGAUACGCAGGGAAGAAAAUGUAGAGAUAGCUUUACGAACUAUCGUUAAGAUGCUCGUGGAGAUACUGAAGAGUGGAGAGAGAUCUUGGAUUGAAGAUUUUGUGGACUCGAGAUUGAAUGACAACUUCAACUACUCACAGGCGCUGAUGAUGGUGAAGCUGGCAAUCGCUUGCUUGGAGGAGGACAGAAGUAAAAGGCCGAAUAUGGAAUCCGUGGUUCAAACCCUACUCUCUUCAGACGACGAAACCAACUCUCAUGCAACAAUUUUACUUUAAUAAGCUGCAGGGUCUUCUUUAGUCAGCGGAUGCUACUAGAUGUAAUCGAAUUUUCCCUCGCUUGCAAUGCUAGUUUGCUUCUCCCUAUGAUAUGCUGAAGUGCUUGUAUAGAAACAAGUAAUUAAUUGUUAAUUGCUCCUCUCUAUGAUAUGUUAAAAUGCCCGGAAUGCUAGUUUGCUCCUGUCUGUGGUAUGUUAAAGUGCUUGUAUAUGUUUGUCUUCUGCUUGUAAUGAAAUGGGCAUAUUAUGUUUAACUUUGUUUACAAUGCCAUGCGCAGAAUAUAUAAUAGCUGGGAAUUAUGCGCGAUCCUUAUGUUUAUCUCUUUUUUUUUUCUCUCCGGUAUGGUAAUUUCGGUUACUGUGACAUCAUUUAUUUAUGCUUGGUUUGGUUGUAUGUUUGGAAGUUCUACUGGGUACGUUUUUUUAUUUUUCCAAUAUAGUUAAAGAAGAUAAAAGAAAAGGCAUUCGACGUACGUAAUGAGCACAAAGUUUUUUCGUUUCGAUUUUGGACGAAGUUGUGGAUGUAUUUUACAUUGGGGAAAUUCGAAAACUGCUUAUGAAAGAUGCAUCUUUUCUUUACAAUCUCUGCGAAGAACUUGAAUAAUGUAACCUUCAAUGGUGUUUGGUGCAUGGUUUGGUGUAAGAAGUUUCUGAGGAAAUAAAUGUUUACACCUCUCCAACUUCUGUUUUUCGUCUCAUUUUUUAAAUUUAAUGUUUUUUUUUAUUUUAUUAUCUUUACUUGUUAAUGUAAUUUAUAAUUUUAUUACUAAAAAUUAAUUACAGCCAUAAAAUUUAGCUGUUAAAUUUAAUACACUCCUAUAGUAACUGACUGAAAUCUACGGAUGUCAACUAGUAUUUAUAUCUGAGUUUCAUUUAAACUCAAGUAUGGUUUCGAUUAUAGAUAUAAAAAAUAAAUAAAUAUUUAACGGAUUCGGAUAUGGUUUCAAGUUCCCGAUUUUUUUUAUUGGGGUUCGGCUUCAGAUUUGGCAAAAACAGUUCCAAAUCGAUAGGUUGACAUCCCACUAAAAUUAUUUAAAUUAAAAAAAAUAAAAAAUUGAGCGUUAAUAAAAUAAAUAAGUGAAUAAAGCGAAGGAAUCUAUUCCAAUUCCAAGGGGCCCAUACAUCUUUACUAAGAAAAAGAUGCGUGCCUAACACGGGCGAGUUGAACCUACCACAUCCAAUUCUAAUUUCCAAGUUUGUGUGGGGAUACCGUAUGUUCCCAAGGCAAGUGAUAAAAAAUUUAAUAGUUGGUAUUUAAGGUCCUAAAUUUGAAGCAGGUAAUAUGUUAUCUAUCUCUCUUAAAAUAUAUAUAUACUAUUCUGUGGAAAUUUUUUUUUUUUAAAAAAAAGUUUGUGUGGUGAUGUGUGGUUUAUUCUUUGGUGCGAGUAGAUCGUGGAAUCUCGACCCAAACCAUAGUGCUCAUAGGUUACCUGCAAAUUUACGGAUAUAGAUACAUACUUUUCCAACCCAAAAAAUUACGAUUAAAACGGAUAGGUACCAUUGAGCCAUAGCAUUUUGGAUAACCCCGGAUACCUAUGGAUACCUCACAUAUAUCUUUUAAUUACAUAAUAUAUUUUUUAAUUAAAAUAUUUAUUUAUUUAUUUAUCUAUUUUAAAAUUUUAAUUCUAAUUCUAAUUUCGUAUCGCUUGUCUUUUAUAUUAUAAAAUAUUUUUGUUUUAAAACUUUAAAUAUUCUUAUUGUAUUUUAUGAUAUUUUAAAGUAAUAAAUUAUAUUACACUUUUAAUAUAUAUAUAUAUACUAUAUAUAUAUAUAUAUAUAUAUAUAUAUAUAUAUAUAUUUUAUAUUCAAAAAAUAUAAAAGAAAAAAAAUUGCGGAUAACCCGCAUACCCACUCGCCCACUCGCGGACAGGUACAGAUAAAAAUAUUAACUACUUAAAAAUUUACUGAUAAAUUUUACUCACAUCGAAAUAACCUACGGAUAUAAUAAUCCACCCACGAAUUAUCCAACCCGCCUGUUUAGGUGGAAGCACCAGCAAACCCAACAAAAAGGUGAGAAAACAUGUGGCCUCUAUAACAUGUAAACUGUUUAAUAGGAAAAGAAAUAAUAAAAAAUAAGAAAAAAAUUACUUUUAUAUUUUUAAUAAGAUAAAUAAUAUAUAACUGUUUUAAGUAAGAUUUUCUCAUGGAUUGUGCAGUGUUAAUUGUUUUAAAAAAAUGGAAAAGGAGCCAUUAAAGAUGCGUGUCCACUUUAGAUAUAUAUUCUAUUCCCAUCGAUGCUGCUGCUUAGCAUAGGGAAUAUAUAUACGAGCACGACUCUUAAUGCACUCAAAAGAGUGACGUCCACUUUUUGUUUGGGCAUCUUCUAAGUCAACAAGAUGUGGAGUAACGCGACCCUUCGCUUCUCCAACAGCUUGAUGAAUUGGACGUAGCGUAUUUAUAAUCAGUAUACAUGGCAAUAUUUAAUUAAAAAUAAUAUAAUUAUUAAUAAGAUAUGUAUUAAUUUAUAAUUUUGAAGUUGAAAUCUAACUAUUAAAUUAUAUAGUUUGUAAAGUUUUAUAAAAUUUACUUGUAAGAAAAAUAUUUUUUAAUCUACUUAUUUAGUUAUAAGGUAGUCAGAAAUAUAUUAUUCUUACAAACAAUUUUGACAAUCAUUUAUAAAAUUUAAAAUUUAAUAAUUACAUUUUAUAUUUCACUUUACAGCAAUCACCUUAUGAUAUAUAAUUUUUUAUUAGUUAAAUACUAUUAUUAUGUAAAUAUAAGCUAGUUUGUAAAACUUAGUAAAACUUAUUUUUAAAUAUAACAGUUUAGUGAAUGGUGAUGCAAUGGUGAGCUCAUUACAUAUCCCCAUAUCAUCAUGCGUCCAAAUGUGUAUAUAUAUAUAUAUAUAUAUAUAUANAUAUAUAUAUAUAUAUAUAUAUAUAUAUAUAUAUAUUAUUUGACUUGCGCAGCAUAACCUCCACCAACAAAGUAACAUCAACUCGUCAUUUUAUAAUUGGGAUAAUUUGGAAUCGUUUUUUCUCAAAAAAAAAAUUAAUUUGGAAUCGUUUCACUGCUAAGAGUAGAGUGUUAAAUGUUUUUAAAUUUUCGUUCAAGCCCAUAAUAAAGUAUUAUAUCUUCAUAAUUCAAUUGCAUAGCCCUCUCUCUAUCUAGCGAAAGUCUAAACCUCAAUAAUGACCUAUUUUUCACUAUUCUAAAGUUCAUUUUCAGAUACACUUCACUCAAAUUAAACAAAGAAAUUAUGAUAUCUAAUUAAAAUUCCGACUUUUAGAUUUUUUUUAAUCAAAAACUAAAUCACCAAAAUAUAUUUACAAAUUCACCAACUAAAGAGCAAUAAGCUAGAUAUAAAACUCCUCUAUCUGGAUAAGAACUCGAGUUUUUUAGCCUCCGCUUCUGCUUCAUUCUUAUAAUAAUAAAAAGCCGAUUAAAAUCUGCAGUCUCUGCUACAGCAAAAAGGACCGGGAGGAUUUCGAUUUCUAAAAACACCAAUUCUAAGCUUCUAUUAAUAUGCAACAAAAGAUUUUAUAUAUAUAUAUAUAUAUAUAUAUAUAUAUAUAUAUAUAUAUAUAUAUUAGAUUUUGACUGACUAACUAUGGAUAUAAACCUCGUUACUACGCAGAUUUUUUUGUGAAGAGGCUUUCAAAUCGAUCGAUCGCACCGUUGAACAUGAUCUAAGAACCAUUUAAAUUAUCUAGAAAUCAAUUUCAUGAUUUUUUGACAUCAACUGACUAAAUGAACCAAAUAUAAAGGGUAAAUUAUAAUUUUAAUGACCGCUGUGGUGCGUUUGUUCGUUAUAGGUAUACAAAAUAUUCAAAUCAGAUCACUAAAUUUUGUUAAUUUGUAAACUAUGUUAAAAUACAGAUCUAGCUCUAGACUCGUCGAAAUAUUAUAAAGUUGUAUCUUACUUUCAAGUAUAUUUUCAGCAUUUCAUUUUUUUGUUAGUUGAUUGACGGAGAAUAGAAAUCGGAAAAUUGUGAACACACACAACACAAGAGUUUUGCAGCAUAGUUAAUAUAUUAGAUUCAUAUUUUAAUCGCCCCGGUGCCCGUGGAUCCUGGUUUCGCAUUGAAGAUCUCUCAUGCGAAAACUCAAAUCGGAGUUAAAUUGAUUCGUUUACUAACCGUAUAGUAUUCUAUCUCAACCCGUCUCCUUCUCUCUUUCAUCCUCCUCUCGGCCUCGUCCCCUCAGCUCUGCUUCUUCCAUACUCCCUGAGUCCCUGUUUCCUCCUACGUCUCUCGGUGGGCCAUUGUGUGUCUGAUGCACCUCCUGCCGUCUCGUGUCUCUCGGUCUAUAUAUAUAGUAUCAAUAUAAUAUAUAUAUAUAUAACAUAUAUACCCAUAAGUCCAGCUAUGCCGUGCUUGGUAAAAUAUCAUCAGCACUUGGUGCGUUGUAAGUUUUUUACCGUUAGAAUUUACUCCACUCGGAUCAUUGUUCAGACAUUUAGAUUAUACUCUUAAACCAACUUCCUGUUCCGCGCGCGCUCCCUGCAAUCAACCUAUGAGGCCCACAUUCUAUUGGUUUUACCGUAUAAAUUUUAAUUCCAAUGGCUAAUAAACUAGCAAGCACUCGAAUGGUUUUGCCUACUUUAUAAGCAUAGGAGCUCCAUUAUAUAUAUAUCUAUCUAUAUAUAUAUAUAUAUAUAAAGAAUUAAGCUUCUAUGUUUUUAAAAUUACCAAGUUAUUGGUGUUUGAUAGUUUUUGGUAUUUGGAUAAAAAGAUGUAUAAGAAUGAUAUUGAUCUCCUAGAAUUGAGUGAGUGUGGUAGAGUAGCAUAAUUUUUUUUUGAAAAAAAGGUAGCACGCUACCCGUCUUAUUCAUUUCGAAAAUGAACUUAGCUACAAAAUGUAAAGCUACUAGGCCUCAAAAAAAAGAAGAGAGAUAGAAAGAGAGAGAGAAAAAAAAUAAAAAAAGAAAAGAAAAGAAAAAUCUAUACAGUAACCUGGUGGGUGCUUUGGAGACAGAGAAAUAAUGUUAUUUUCAUAAAUUUGAGCUCAUAUCCAUUGGAGGUUGCUAGAAUUUGUAAGGAGUUGGUGAAGCAAUGGAUAGAGUAGCAUAAUUUUAAGAGUGAAAUUGAUCAAAAAAAUAAAUUUAAUAAUAAAAAAUUUACAAGUAUCAAAUACUUAGUACUUUUAAAAGCAUCUUAUCCUCUCUCUCUCUCUCUCUCUCUCUCUCUAUAUAUAUAUAUAUAUAUAUAUAUAUAGGCCAUUGCUACUAUACUAUUAUGAGUAUUGGAGCCCUCGUACUCAUAAGUUGUUUUCAAUGAUGGAGUUUCUGAAUCGACGAUCCACUCCGUUAAAUAUGAUCUAGAGUAUUUGAAACUUCUAGAAAAUAAAUUUCGUAAAUUUUCGAAAUCAUAAUAAAGUCCAUCAAGUGGGCAUAAAAUGAACGGUCAAAAUCGAACGACAUCCUAAAAGAGGAUGAUCGGAUCCUUCAAUUCAAGAUCGGAGUUAUUGAUCUGUAUCUAUGUAGUGAAUAAAAUUUUCUAUCAAAAAUUCAACAAAUUUCGAUUCUUUUACACCGUUAAACUAGCAAGUAUCCCAUACCGGCCGUUAAAAAUUGUCAAAUUUGUCAAAAAAUUAUAAAAUUUAAUUUCUAGAAGUUUUAAAUGCUGUAAAUAACGUUUAACGGUGUGGAUCGUCGAUUCGGAAGCUCUAUCAUCGAAAACAACUUAUGAGUACGAGGGUGAUCAUACUCAUAAUAGUAUAGUAGCCGGACCCUAUAUAUAUAUAUAUAUUGCAAUAGCAGUUCUUCAGAGUGUAUAAUUAAAGGUCUUAGGCGCAUGAUAACUAUACUGAUCCGAAGGUUCAACUGCUUCUCUGCUUCAGCUAUUCCCUACCCCAGAAAAAAACCGCUUGCUCUGCUGCAAUCACUUGCAACAACAGGGGAGCUCCGCCAAAAAAAUGAUUUAAAAUUGAUCGCAAACCAAUAGAAUAAGAAAUGCCAACAUGUUACUGUUUAAGCACUAUUAAUGCGUAAAAAAUAUCCCUCCCCCUCCCCCACCCGAAUAAAAAAGUCUCCUCUUUUAGGAUAAAAGUAAAAAUCUAAAUGCUAAGAACCGUCCCAAUCAAGGCUUGUGUUCCCAGCACGAUCCCAUCCCUAUCCCCGCGUUGCCUUUUUCCCUGUCCCCUCCCCAAAUCUUCUACUUUUGAGUCCCAAAUCCUAGUUUCCCUUUCAAAAUAGGAUUUGUUUUUAGGGAUUUUGAGGCCUUAAUUUCGAUUUGGAUUGGUUGUUUGAUCCGGGAGUGUUCAAUUUUUUUUGGGGGCGUUUUAGAAGAUGAGCGGGGGUCAAAGCAACGGCGGGGGAUGGCUUAUAGAUUAUGGGCUCGUUGAUGAGAUCCAAGGCUCGGAUUUUAUCUGGGGUUCUCAGAUAAACGAUGAUCCCAUGGUCUCAAGGUGAUUUAUAAUAUCUUACAUCAAUUUAAUGUUGUAAUUUUUUUUGUUUUCUGUUCGAUAUGUUGACCUGAUCAGUGAGAUCAGAUCACAAUGAUCUCAAAAAAUUCUCUUUUUUUGUUUUUAAAGUAUUUGAGCAGUUUCAGAUCCCUAUAGUUUAGAUCGGUAAGCAAAAAAUUCAUCUUGAGUUGUUAAUAUUUAGAUUGAUCCACAUAAGGUUGAGAACUAGAGAGAUCAGAUCAACAACUUUUGUCUAUGUUAAUAUUGAGAUGAAAUAGAAACAUCAUAUGCGAUGAUUCUCUCACUAACUAAAAUUUCUGUACCUUUAACUCUCUCAUUUGCAGUGUGAUGUUUGGGUUCGACGUUUCGCACAAGCAGGAAGGUUGUGCAGAUAAUUCUUGUCCUAAGAAAAGGUAAUUGACUGAUUUAUAACAUCUCCAACAUGCUCUAUAUUUCUAUUUGAAUUGGUGAAUGUCACCGUAUAACUCGAGCUCAGGGUAUGAUGAAAAUAAUGUAGAUUGCUGACUCAUAGACAUCUUUACGUCACUGUUUCAACUUUCAAAUAAUAACAGAUGUAGAGCAUUCCUCAAAUGAUAUAAAUCAGUGAAUUGAAAGGCCCCUGAAGGGUCGGAUAUGAAUUUGAGGGAAUUUUGCCUGGAUCUAGGUGAAGCAAGCACAAACGAAUAUUGCUUAUGGGGUUCUGGCAAAGAAAAAGAAUGCCAAACUUCGAAAUUCAGAAUAAGUAUUAUUGGAAGACAUAAAAAAAUUAUUUACUAUUCGUUUGCGGAAACAGAAUCUCUGGAUUAGUUGGCUCUGUUAUUAUUCUUUUUCAUGAAAGAGAAGAAGAUAUAGAUUGGAGUUAAUUAAUGAGGUUGUCGAUAUCGCCAAGUUUAGUGGUAAUUAUUUGUCACUUGCUACAUCAAUAAAGAUCCAGGCUUCAUUUCGUUGGUGAAGAACCAAACUUGGCAGGUGUUACUCAGAAAGUAUACGCAUUUUUCAGACUUCUGAUGCUAUUUAUCAAACAAAAUUUGUUAGGAGAGCUUCCUUUGUUUAAUCACCAAAACUAAUACUUUCUUUCGAUUUGCUUUUAACAGAACUCGCCCUGAGUCAUGUGCUGCACCAGGGACUAAGGCUUGCCGUGAAAAACUGCGAAGGGAUAGACUUAAUGAUAGGUAGAUUCUAGCAUUCUAUAUCAUGCUUUUUCUGGUGAUGCUCUGAUUAGAACAUAUGGAAGCAAAACUUGUUUGAGUACAUCAUGCCUGUUUGGCAUAGUUGGUACUUCCAUAGAAGCAUUGUUUGAGUGGAGUUACGUGAAGAAGCACUAUUUGCUUGUCCAUUAAAAUUUCUUCAGUAUCAUCUAGCUAAAGCAAGAGUUUUUUUAUUUUUAUUUUUUUAAGGCAGAGGAAAAGCCUUACCCAUCUUCAUUCUUAAGUAAUGAACAAAAGCAUACAGGGAGGCAACUGGGCCUCAUGAAACCCACACACAAGUGCACGCGCACAUGCAUGCACACAUCGUGUGUACACCCACUCACUCACAGACACACACACUCCCCCACACACUCACAGAGACACAGAGACUGGCGCACACACGCCCACAUGCAUGCGCAGGCAUGCACAGACCCAACCUCCCUCCCUCCCGCGCUAAAGCAAAAGUUAAAGUUUCAAACGAGCAUCACCUUUUCGCCACUGUGAGAGUUUCAGAUGUUUUAUUAGCCAAAAUGCCACCACAUAACUCUUGGUUUGCGAACGCUUCAGCUUUCUUGAAUAGGGAUGCUGUUCAAGAGGCAACACAAACGAGCACUUAGAAAUUACUGGCAGUUACUAGGAUCUGUGUAUCUCACAGCUAAUCAUUUGUAAGUUCUGUUUUCUUUCCAUCUCAAGAGAAGCUUUUUUUUUUUUUCCAGGUUUACAGAGUUGUGCUCUAUUUUGGAUCCUGGGAAGCCUCCAAAGGCUGACAAAGUUGCCAUUCUAAGUGAUGCAACUCGUCUUUUGAACCAGCUACACCUUGAAGCUCAGAAACUGAAGAAAUCGAAUGAAGCACUUCAAGAUAGCAUAAAAAAUCUCAAGGUAAAACUGAUAUGACUAAGUUGUGCGCCUUGACUGAAUGGCGUUUUCUUAUAAUGGCUUGGCUGAGUUCCAAGUUUUUUAGUACCAAAGGAAAAGAAGACCCAUAGUCCUCAUUUUUUAGCUCAGCAGUUGCAAAUAACCAAUGAAUGAUUCGGUCGAUCCACCUUUUGAGCCUCUCUUCUCUUUGAAAUAUUCAAUCCAUCUAUCCUGCACGUGUGGAUAGUUCUUUUUCUUUUCCCUUUUGGAUGUAGUGCAUUAUGUAUAUGUCAAAUAAAGAACACUAAACUUGCUAAGAAAUAACAUAGAAUGUAAUAAUAUUCUUUGUGAAUGAAAGAUGCCAUAUCCCAUCUGCUAUUGAUGACACCUUAAAUGGAAAGCAUUAUCGCUAAAUAGUGGGUCUUCUUUUUUUGCAGCUCUGAACAGAAAAAGGAGAUUUUAAUAGUUGAUCUUUGCUCAUACUUUGUACACUAUUUGGUAUGAACUACAGGCGGAGAAAUCAGAACUAAGGGACGAGAAGAUGAGGCUCAAGGCCGAAAAGGAUCGAUUGGAGCAAAUGCUGAAGGGAGUUAGCGCCGCUCCCCAAUUCAUCCCUUAUCCUACUGCUCCUGUCGUCGCAUACAACAAGGCCGUCCCGUAUCCAAACUACCCACCGGCAGGCGUAUGGCAAUGGGUACCUCCGGCCGUUCUGGAUACUUCGAAAGAUUCAGUGCUCUGGCCUCCUGUUGCAUAGUCUUCUUCUAUUUCUCUCUUACUUUGCCAUUACAAGGACCAAAAUAGUCCUUGGUGGUUGUUAGUGACCCAUUUAUGUUUCACUAAGCUGUUUUCUACUGUAUUAUUAACCAUGGAGCUGUAUCGAAGGCCCGACAAAGCUCCCAGGUCUCAUGGAAAAAUUUAGCAGUCGUAUUGGUACAUAUAUCGUGUAAUCGCAAUGUAAGCUGUAUUUGGUGGCAUGUCGUGUGCUGCUUAAUUCGCCAGAGUGAUUAAUCUCACUAAUGUCUGAAUGAUUAAAAUAGUAGCCCUGUGUUACACAUUUCAUUGCCUGUAUAUGUAGUAUUGAUAGCAUUGAACGAUAAGUGGAUGCUGAUUACUUCAUCUGGUACGAUCCAAAAAGAUGUCAUAUGCGAGGGACUUGGCCAAGGACUAAUAAUAUGCAAAUGCUAAAAGCCUACAGGCUACUUCAAAUUAGUAAAAUAAAGUAAAAUAAAUAUGCAAAUGCUGAGGAGAUUGUGAAUGCUUAUGUCACAUUUUGAGACAGAACCAGUUGGGUCAAUUAUUGGGCUCGGCCCAGGCCUGGCCCAUUAUGUUACUGCCGGGCCGAUUAUUUAGAGUACAAUUGUGGCAAUCCAAUUGGUAAAAAUCAUUGCGCACCAGGUGUAUCUGUAUGUCUCAUACGCCAUACUACCAUGUAACGCCGCCAUCAGAGAGAGGAUGCAUGAAAUGCUGCAUUUUGAAAAUCUAUGCCACCGACCGUCCCUAGAGCAAGUGGUAAAAGAUUUGGUGGUUGAUACCUGAGACCCAAGUUCGAAUCCUAGUUUAUUCACAUUUCUAGCUAAGUUUAUUUCUAAAUGAAAUAAACGAAACGGGUAGCGUGCUACCUAUCUCUCUAAAAAAAAAAAAAAAAAAAGACUCUCGUUGGCACAGAAUUUGAUGAUUGGUAUGCGAGAUCCUAACUUUAAAAAUUGAAUAAAACAAAUAACAUACCCCCCUAAAAAACCCCAAAUUAUAAGAGGCGGUAUUUCUACUAGUGUUUAGAGUCUUUAGACCAAAUUUUAAAUUUUUUGCCAUAAAGAUAUUAGAAUCAUAGAAUGUGAGGCACUGUGCACCUGGUGCACGCAAUAGUCUCUCACGGAUGGAGGCUCUGGGCACUAACAACGCGGUGACCAUCGGGUCCACGGAGUCGUGGCCCCGCACUGUUAACGGAAUCACGAAGCAGAGGAGGGCGUUCGAAGCGACGUAGGGAUUCGAGUACGAGGUGGCAUCUUCGCGAUCUAGGGUUUCUUCGAGACGACGACCGACUACGCGAAUUUGGGGGAGGAGAAGGGGAGGGAGGGAGCUCCGAAUUGGGAAUCUAAUCAUGGCGAUCUUGCUUCUCCGACGCUGAGAUUACGCGGCCAUGGAGGAAGGUUACACUUACACCGCUCUCCCCACCAGCCACUUGCUCGGCUCCGUCCCCGUACGAUCUCUUACCCCUUUUCCUCUUCUUUAAAUUUGCUUUAAUUAGUUUCUUCAAUUCGAUUUCCAUUUCCGAGAGCGUGAUUAUUUUGGAAAUAAUGUACUGAUUUGAGCUGUUAUAGUCAUUUAAAUUCGAUAGUUCUACUAGCUGUUUGUUGUUAAUUAAUGCAGUUUUUUUUUGGCUAAAAAGUGAUUAGAAUCAUUGAAUUUGAAGGAAUCACUGGUGGAAUUAGUGAAAUCCCCAAUUCAUUUGAGUAAAAUCACUCAAAUCAAACAAAAUCAAAAGUAACAGGGGUGUCGGUACAAAAUGGCCUGUAGGUGAGGGCCUCUAUACUAUUUUGCCUAAUUCUUAACUCUGAUAAGUCGAGUCUCUUUCCGAUUUAUUGUAAUUACUCAUUAAACUGAUAUCCUGGGCUGGAACUUUAGCUACCCCUAUCAAGGAAAGCUGAUUGCAUCUUCAUUGUCAUACUAAAUUCUUUGGAUUAUUUAAAAUUAUUGCUGCUAAACAUUUCUCUGUUGAGUGUUGUACUCUUUUGUAUCUGAUCUACUUAAGGCUCACUUUAUUGAUUAUUUUCUUAAUAAUAAGUACCAUAUUUGAAUCUUUGAAUAGGCUGUCAUUGAUGGUGAUAUAAAGGGGGGGAGCUCUAGCGAAGGUAUAUAUGAAGUUUUAGUCUCUUUGCUUUUCUUAGUUAAAUUUUGACAAAGAAGUAUAUGUUCAUUGAUUCUUUCUUUAGCCUUCCAUGCAGCCUCACCAGCAAAUUUACAAGUCUUUCCACCAACUAAUGGAGCUUACCAAGCACCAGGAAGUCCAGCUGGUAAUUAAUGUUGUUUACCUACCUCAUGUUCUCAUAUUGGGUGAUAUUAACCGGGCUAGGCAUGAAAACAUAACCUAUUGAAUUUUGGACUAUGGAAGUUUAAGAUUUGCAUGUUACCAUCAAUAUUGUGGAAUAUAACUAGACCAACAUAUUUUACUAUGAUAUUGUAGUUAGUGGUGACCAUCUGCGAAUCUACAAUCUACAUAUAGAGAAGAUCUAAGAAAAACAAAGACAUGGAUCUUUAAAUUAGCUGUGCCAUUGUUAACUUUCUGAUUACGGUUUUGGGCUUUUGAGUCUUUGAUCAUAGUUGCAGUCUUGCAGUGUGGUAGUAUUAUCAUACCAAAAAUUAGUGUUUAAGAAACACAAAGAAGAUUUUAGUGAAAGCAUGCAGGAUUAAAGAAAAGUUACUCCCAGAACUCCCAGACGGAUUAGUAUUGGAUUGUUAACAUGUAAGCUCGAUCGAGUGUCUUCUGUCUAAAAGAAAUAAAAAAGAAGUUAUUUGCUCUGGCUCUGGCUCUGGCUCAUUUGAAGUUUUUGAAAAACCUAUUUUGACGAGGUAACAGCCAAAGCUUGCAGGCACUGUAGAUGCAGCUUCUUUCACUUUAAAAGGAACCUUGUUUCUCUUCUUUCUUCUGAUUUCAUGUUCCACCUUGUAAAAAAAAAAAAAAAAAAAAAAAAAUUCUUAUGCUGACCAUUGCGUUUGGUUGAAAGAUGAUAACGUGGUGUCCAUCUAAUUAGUAUUGCUAUUUUUGGUACCUUUUUUUUUUUUUAAUUCCUUUGUCACGGUGUUCUUGAUGCAGAUGGAAAUGCCCAAACUGCUACUGAUUGGAAAGGGUUCUUUAGCAUUUCAUCAUACAGCCCCUAUUUCAAUGUUGAUACUGAUGUUGUGGUGGAUAGACUUGUUAGUUCAGUGUAUCCCAUGGAUAAUUUUUACAGGAAGAUAGAUGGUAAUCCAGAUCUGUAAGUUUUACUUCUUUGUAAAUACUACUACAACGCAUGUAAUUAUAUAGAAACUGUCCUUUUAUGUUGUUAGCUUGUUCAAGAAUUUUAACUCCUAAUGGCUGAAUAUUACUUUUACUUUGGUAAGACAACUAAAUUUUAUUAGUUGUUGAAUAACUUUAUGUCUAGUUGUUGAAAGUAAGAAAAAAAAAAAUGUAUAAUGCAAUAGCAGUGUCAUGGAAAAUCAUGCAUGACAGUUCCUGUUUGACCUUUUGCAAGAUAUUAUGAGUGUAGAGUAUCAUAAAUUUGUUAGUUGGAGGUGAUAUCAAGUAUUGUAGUUUACAUUGUUGAAAUGGAGCAUGCUCAUUUCUGCAAACUUUCUCAGUACUACGAUAAGAUCAAUCUAUAGUCCUGUUAGGAUUAGUCACUGCCUAAGAAGUGUCCUACUUUUUUGAAGGGAUGAGAUACUACCUUUUUUUCAAGAGAGAGAGUGUCAAUUUUUUUUAGCCUUACCAGCAUUAUUUAUCACAGUGGUUAAAAGGAAUUUCCAAGGGAGUGCAUUGAAAAUCAGCCACAUAAUAUACUUUGCUUGUGAAUAUUGAGAUUUAAGCUGUAUCUAUUGUAUGUGUGAUAUUCCUUCUCCUGUAUGAGAUAUUGAAUCCCUGUGCAUGAAUUUUUUUUUUUUUUAACAUGAAAUCACUCGAACAGAAUGAGUCGCUUGGCAAGAGAAUGACUGCCUGGACUCGGUCCACUAAGUCAGCCGUGAUCUGCUGAGUGAUCUACUAUCAAUCUAUGUACAAUCCUUAUCAUUCAAUGCUUCACUGUCUUUUCCAGAUUCAAAGAUUGAUUUCCUUAAGAAUGCUGGGGAUUGAAUCUAGUAAUGUGAUUGAGGGUAGAUCAGUAAGCAGUCCAUGGUUGACAUGCUUACUAAAUAUCUGGAUUUGGUUGCGUGUUUCUUUUUCCUCCCUUUUAAUGUCUCAAGUUUGUUUACCAGUCAAAUGACAAAUAAUGUCAACAUGCAUAGGUAUGGUCCGGUGUGGAUUUCUACCACAUUGGUAUUCAUGCUAGCUGCCCUUGGAAACUUUGCUACUUACACGAUACAAAAGAGAAGUGAUCCAAGCAUGUCAUGGAACUUUGAUGUUGGUUUCGUAAAUUGGGCAGCAUUGGUGAUAUAUGGAUAUGUGAUUGUAGUACCUGCUGCACUUUUCUUCUUGCUUCAGUAUUUCGGGAUCAACUCAAGUCUCAUACGUCUUUGGUGUAUUUGGGGGUAUUCACUGUUCAUCUUCAUACCUGCUUCUGUAAGUAUCUGUCCAGUUUAUAGCAUGUGCAAAAUUGCAAUUUGCAUUGAUUAUACCUUUCUUUUGCUGUGCAAUCCUAGAUUUUAUUGGGCUACCAUCAAGUUUAGAUGCAUGAUUGUGUGCAUAAUAAAUAUAAACAAUAUACAGGAUGUCUAGUUGUCUACGAAGCGAAGUAAAAGCAGCUUUAACUGUUUUACAUUUCUAAAGUGUGUCAAAACUACCCUUUUAUGGCUAGCUAAUUUUGACAACAUGUGUCAAUGUAUGUUGGCUAGUUAAUUUUGAGAAAACCAGUCCGCAGAAGAGAACCUGAGUUCCUCUUGAAUGAUGUUUCAGUUGUUGUUGGUUGUUCCUGUCGAGAUAUUCCGGUGGCUAAUCACAAUUCUAGCCGGAUGCGCUUCUUCAUGGUUCAUAUUUCUGAACUUGAAGGUCCACACUGAAGGGAGUAGUAUGACGCCUUUGUAUGUUAGUGCUAUGGUGCUGCAAUUCGCUUUAGCGCUCUUCAUCAAAAUCUUCUUUUUUGCAUGAGGUUGUGUGGACAACAUCCGGGAUCCAGCUUCUGACCUUUGCAUUGCAUAGGUAAGCUGCAAAAGUAUGUGAUUUUACUUGCUGAGUUGCUGUAUAUUUCCUGGAAAUAGUUGACUUCAUUUGUUACAAUGUUGUUGAUGGUUUUUAGAGGGUCCUGAGUGGCUAUUAGAGGGUCAUUAUCAUCGGAUGUUGAUUAUUUUCUUCUUAAAGUUAUUGGGAAGGAAUGUGACUGUCAUGUUACUUAUUUUCUUAAUGCUAGUUAACUUGUUUCAAUAGACAUUUUGCAGCUGUACGUGCAUAUAUACAUCAUAUGCAUUUACCUAAUCUUUAUGUACACAAAUAUUUAUUUUAAUGAUUUAUAGUUUUAUUGAUGUAUUUAUAGGUGCGUAUCUUACACUAGAAACUUCUAUUUUAAAGUUCAUAUUUGAUGAUAAUUUUCUAAUUGUUUUGCUUUUUCAGAUGGAUUUGGAGUUGAUGCUUGUCUACAUCAGUUUUCAUGUCAUACUAUUUCUCAGAAAUCUGUGAUGUUUCAACUUUUACCUAACAGAGAAACUACAAGAGGUGUUAAGGGGAACUUGUAUAUUGCUACAUGGUAACCUGGAGAUGUUAUGUCUUUUGACUUGCUUUUGUUCUUCGCAGUUUUCUCUGCUGAACGCUUUUGAACCCUACAGCAUAUGUGUACAUUAAGCCUUUUUGUCUGAAUAUGGUGAUGGUGAAAGAGUUCCUCUAAAUAACUAUUUAGGUUAUUACCUUUUUUACAUAAAAAGAACCUUUUGACCGUAAUUUUGGUGAUCUCUCUUCUCGUUUGUCAGAAAACCUGGAUUGGUUGUGAUCUCACUUUCAUAUGAGGAUGGUAGUUGUAGAGGGGAUGUUACUUAUUACCUUCCUAAACUUGAUCUACUAUUGCACAUUUGUGUCUUUAGCGUGCGAGAUUUUGGUAAACAGGAAUUUCAUAUUGAAAGCAAUAACGUAUAUUUAGCACUUUAGUAUUUUACUACUUUGUUUUGCUCGUUGUAUUUGAUGAAUAAUAAUGUGACUGCUAGUUGAAAAUACGUGUUUGAUACCACUUUUAUUAUUUUUCUGAGUUUGUCUGGGUCUGUGGUGGCAUCAGGUUUGGUAACUCGUUACAUGUGUUUCUAAAUACAAACUCAAUCAGUGAAAAUUAGAAGUUUACUCAAAAAGUGCAAAAAGUAAAUUAGACCAAUAAAAAGCUUAAUGCUUAAAAUAUGGAUAGUGUCCUCUUCUAAUGAUCUUUUCGAGGGGAUUAUGUGUGGUUGCACAUUUGUCAUCUACGAAUUUGGUUUUUUAAUGAUAACACUUAUUUAACCCACAAUUAUGUAUGCGAAUAUGUUGCGUAGGUAUUACAUAUUCAGUUUUUCUUUACAAAACUAAUUUAGGAUAACAUGCGUCGUAAAGGACAAUUUUCCUUUGUUAAAAGAGUUAAAACACAACGCGACUAAUAAGUAAUUUAGGUGUAUUUUUCUCUCCAUUAAUUAAACAUCAAUAAUAAGCGUAUGCUUUGCAGCAACAUUCUUGCACGUUUCUUUUUCCUCUUAUUUUUCCCUUUAUCCUUAGCAAAGACCACGGACAAACAUUCUCACACCUCAAGCUACGUGCAUAAACGUAACAAAACUUAUACGUGGGGGAAAAAAGAAAAAUAAAAAAUAUUUAUCAUUUGAACGAUCUCUUUAUUAACUCCCGUAGCAUCGCCAUCACAUCAACAGGUCUAAUCGAACGGAAAUUUUUUUCAUUCCGAUGGCGAUACCCGACCCCCCAUAAAGUAACGCCGAGGAACAAGGCUAUUAGACUGACAAGUGGGCCCAUGCAAACAUAACCUCAAAUACCGUGACAUAUCACGGUUACCUCCGAGUAGCUCCUGCUGCAGAACGUAAUAAAAUUGAUAAUAGUGACAUACGUACAUACGACCACGCCGUACGAUUGUUGCUCACUUUUUAGUCCUUUAUUCGCUCGGCAACGGGGAACAAAAUCCAUUAAUCCCCAAAUUGCUCGUAUCUCGGCGAUAAACCACUCCAAUGAGAUGAGAAUUUGAGCUCCUAAACCCAAAAUUCGAGCGAUUUGUCAUUUGUAACGAAGAAGUCGAGGGAGAUCGCGUUGGAAUGGCGUGUUCGUCGGAGUAAUUCGAUCUAGUUAGGGUUUCCAUUGCUGGGAUUUAGGGUUUUUUUCGGAAGGGGGCGGAGGGGCAGGAGAUGAAGGAUGUGGUGGGGAGCCCAGGGACAUGGAGUAGCCUCAUUCUGAGAUUUGGGCAGUGUGCCUUCGCGGGUGCUUCGAUCGGGGUGAUGGCCUCCGCUUUAGGGUUUUCAAGUUACACCGCAUUUUGGUACCUUUCUCGAUCUCCCUUUUUUUUUUGCUUUAAUUCCAUGUAUAUUGAACUAAUUUCUACUUCGUGAUGUACUUUUGACUGUUUAUUUUGAGUGAUUAAGUAGGUCAGCUACUUAAUUUUGAUUCCUUUUGCUUAUUAAUUGGUAUACUUCUAGUAGAAUAAGUUGAUUUCUUACAUAUUCAUAUGAAUAUAGAGAUGAUUAGGGAUUUAACUGGAUCAUCGUUGUGGAAAGGAGUAGUAUUGUCAUCUUUUGCUACAUUUUUUUUUUUUGAGCAAAGUUUGUUAUAAAAAAGAAUAUGCGAGGAAAACUGCGAGUUGCUGUAACUUUGGGUAAGCAAAUUGUGCACUUGUUUUCUGCUUGAGAUCUGGAAUGUGGCAUAAGAUAGAGAUUCUUAUAGUGGAGAACUAGUUUAUUCUCGCCUCAUCGUUUUACAGAAAGAUCCCAAUUUUAAAUCACAUCUCAUCUAUUGAUGAAUCUUGCUUAGAAACCUUUUAUUGAGUUAAUUAGACAAAAAAAAAAAUGUGAAUCAUCUAGGGGGAGAAACUGUUAACAUAUUAGUCUAGCCAGUAGUGAUAUACAGGGACAGAAUAAGAUAUAAUAAGUUGAUCUUUUUUAAAAGAUAUUAGUUCUUUGCAUCUAUCUUCAAUGUUGCCGUCCCCUAAAUGAGCCUUGGUGCAUGAUGAAAGUGGGGAAGGAAGGAAGGGAGGAUCCUCCUCAAGAGAUCCAAUCAGUCAUUCUUGAGUUCAAGGAUGUGAUGCCCACGACAACGCAUUGAUAUUUCAUACUUAUUCCAUUUAUUUAAUAAAACAUAAUUGCAUAGUAUUGUUCAAAAGAUCACUUGCCCAUCACAAGCAAUAAGUGAUGUAUAAAAUUGUAUGACUUACUGAUCAUUCCUUUUGGUUUAGUUACUUGAUUGCUUCGAUGGGACUGCAAGCACUGUGGAGCUUUGGACUUGCUUGUCUUGAUGUUUAUUCUUUGAAGACUAAGAGAGAUCUCCAUAACCCUGUGCUUGUGAGCUUGUUUGUGGUCGGUGACUGGGUAAUUACAUCCCAUCCUUAUGCUCCGUCUAGUUUUACAUGUAUGAGUUUCAAUGGGUUGUUUGUCUGCUUGAUUAUAUAUGGUUGGCUGGGACAGGUUGAACCAGAAAGUAAACUAUAAUAUCUGAAGCCAUUAUUAUUUGUCUCACUUAAGAACCACAGAAUCAUACUACUAAAAUCAUCAUCAGUUGCUUUCAUAUCUUCUGAAUCACAUGAUCUAAGGUGUCCUUUCUUCCCAGCAUGCUUUGACUUGUUACAAAUCUUAAGGUCAUUGUGAUUUUUUUUUGAGUUUUGAGAUAGACAUGCAUACAUACAUACACAUGCCUAGAUAUAAAUAUGAAAUUUAUGUCUAUAUAUUGGGAAGCUUUUGAGCAUAAUUCUGUAGCAAGUAAGCAACCAAUGUGAUGUAAUCCAGGUCACGGCAGUUUUAUCAUUUGCAGCAGCAUGCUCAUCAGCUGGUGUUAUAGUUUUGUUCGAAAGGGAUGUACACUUCUGCAGAAUGUAUCCGCAAUUCCCUUGUAGUCGGUAUGAACUUUCCAUUGUAUUAGCUUUCAUUACGUGGUCGUUUAUUGGUACUUCCUCCCUCGUGAUGUUCUCUCUCUUGGCAUCGUUAUGAACUUUUCUGUAUCUCCGCUAUCUAUGUAACAUAGAUUGCUUCAUUGUCAGAAACCACACUUUGUAUGAUUGGAAAUAUUGUGAGUUCGGUUUUAAAAGUAAUCAAUUCUUGAUUUAUCAAAAAAGUUUGUAAUUGUGUGUUCUUAUUUACUUUUAGACCUCUGUGGUGGUUAUGAAUUAUAAGCACUAUUUUCUGUUGAGUUCAUUUCUUCAUUGUUAUGUACUUGGGUUGCCUUAAACAUCGAUCUGAUUUAAAAAUAGCAAAAACAGCCUUGAAACACCUGAUCAUGUGCGUGAUGGAUAUAUGAUUGAUGUGUAAUUGGCAUUUCAUUUAUGAGAUGUGAUAGGAACUUAUUGUAACUUUAGAUGGAGAUUGAACCAUUAAAUGCCUAUGUGUGGAUUGAGUCCCCAUCCUCCAAAAUCAAAGGGGCUUGAUGUCGUGCAAUCCUAAGAUCUUGCAUCUGAUACAACGGUCUUCAUUAUACUAACUCGAAUCUACUAUGAUUUCGUAGUAUAUUUUUGAGGCUCUUUUCUGAUGAGCAGUAUAUUCUUGAGGCUCUUUUCUGUACGGCUCAUCUAUUUUGUAAUACUUGCCUAUUUAAUAUAAUAGGAAAUUUUUCUAUCUCUGAUGGCCCGUAAUAUGAUAUUACAAUGAAGCUUCAACAAUAUGGAAGUGCAUUAACAGAAGGCCAUUGCUUUAUUAUACUCUCCUUCCUUUGCUCUCCUCUUAUAUGCAGCUACAACUGUUUUAAAUCCGCUCACAAGAUUCUUCUCGUAGAGGCAAAUCCUAUGGACAACCGAACUGCCUAGCUUCAUUUUUGGCCUUCUUAUAUGGGGUUCAAAAGUUGUUUACAGAGACAAUUCUAAGAUGUAUGGAACCACCCAAACUAUACCUUGGACUGAAAGUUAAAUUUGAGUCGAGCAAUUAAUCCAGAUUCUAUGAUUUGUACUCUAAACGGAGACUCAAAUUCCAAUCCCUCUCCUUCGUCUGUGUCAUACUUAACAUCUCUCCUCUCUCCUUUUUUUUCACUUUUGUCCAUCUUCGGCACUUUCCUUUCAUGGUAUCUGAAGCCGAAAGUAGCAAUUUUCUUGAGUUCAUGGGAGAAUACGGUAUGAGUAUAUUCUUUCUUCCCGUAUUUACUAUGCUAAAGAAAUUUCACUUACUUUUUACAUCACAUCCAUCCACAAAAUAUCAAAUGGAAUAUGGUUUCUUGGCAAAUCUAUCUGACGGCUUAGAUUUGCAUGCUUAAACUAAUCAAAGCCCUUACUUCCAUGUAUGCCAACAUAUAUCAGUAUUCCCGUGAAAAUAAAAUAGCAUAAGCAAACUUGAUCUUUCUAUAUAUACAAUGAUGCACAUACCUUUUGGCACAUCAAGAUAAGACCGUCAUCGUACGCAUACACGCAUCAAUUAUCUACACAACCUCACGAUUACCCAUUCUCCUAAUUUAGCACACAAAUGGCAGGGCUCCUUUGGAAGACCCGUACCUUAUUGAAAUGCAAAAGAAAAAAAGGCUAACUUGAUUGUAGUUAUACAACUUAACAUCUCCAUCACCAUAUUGACCAUCACCUAUUGUAAGGGAAGCUUUGGAUGGAAAACCUUGAUCGCCUUUGCGAUCUUAGGCAUGGCGGCGGGAGGUAGACCGCCGGAGAGGAGACUGCUGUGUAGUACUCAUAGUAGGUGGAGCUGCAGUAGCUGAAGAUGAAGAAAAGAACUCUAUCUCAGUUGAAUGGAAUCUGCCAGAAUCUCCAGGCAAUCGAACGUAUGAUGUCGAGGGUGACUCGUUGAAUAGUGAAUUUGUAAAGGAAAUCCUCCUAUAAUUCCUGUAUUGGACUAUGGCCUUAUAUACAAAUGGAAUGAGACCUUCCAUUGAGGAGAAGAAAAGGCUUUAACUUCUUAACAAAGAGAAUAGAUAUUUGGUAGAAGAGAGAAGAAGAUAGAGAGAGAGGCUUUGUUAUUGAGUUGUUAGCCUUAAGUGGAAAGAGGGAGAGAUGGCUUGGUUUAAAAAGAAAAGGAGUUGGGAGGCUUGCUGAGGUGGCAGUUAAAGGUGGAAUCCAGCUGCUGAGGUGAAGCUAAGCUAUUGGUGGAAAAAAAUGACAACUUCAAAGUAAGAUAAAAUUAGUCUUAGAAGGAGAGUUACAAAGCGUGAAGUAGCUUCUCCAACUAAUAGAAAGGUACACAUCUUACCGAAUCCAAUGAUAGUUAUAUUUAUGGUCAUUAGGUGAGUUUUAUAUAUUUAUGAUGGUGUAAUUGGUUUGGGAAUCUUAAUCCUAGAGAUAUAUGAAAUCAAUACCCUCAUCACCACUCACUAACCUCCAGCAUUAUAUUAGUGUCAAAUGUUGAUGAUUUCUUUCAAAUUGCAGGUGAAAAGUUCCUUUCAAAAUCAGUAAGAUAGACUCUCUUGGAAGAUAAUGCAAGUCUGAAUAACUUUCUUUAGAAUCCUUAUUGAAUUUUGUACUUCAAACACCGACCGUCCCUAGCGUAAGUGGCAAAAGGGCUUGGUGGUUGGUACCCGAGACCCAAGUUCGAAUCCUAAUUGAUUCACAUUUCUAGCUAAGUUUAUUUCUGAAUGAAAUAAACGAAGCGAUUAGCAUGCUACCUUUCUCUCUCAAAAACAAAAGAAAAGAAUUUUGUACUUCAAACUGUUAAGCAAGAUCAGCAUAAUUCAUUAUUGUACUACAAAAUUUAAGCCAAUUGGUCGUGUUGUGACAAUCAGGAACAUCAGGAUUUGGAUAUCUAACCUGACAAUCUCAAAUAGAAAAGAUACAGAAAAAGAAAAAAGUAGAAGUACUACAACAGAAGUCUAGUGGUACUUUCCCUGCUAUUCUCUACUUCCCAUAUGAAAUGUGAAUCUUAAAUUGAGAUAAACCUGUAACAAAAAUAAUAAAAAAUAAUAAUAACAAAGUAGUAGGAGGACAAUUUUUGAGGCAUUUUUUCCCCCCUCUAUGUUUGAGUAUACUUGAUAAAGUAGUUUAAUUGAUGAGUAAAAGUAUUCAUUGCAUGUUCUAAUGUACAUUUGAGGUACCAGUAGAAAUAAACAGCAUUAUAUGAAAGAAAUUGCUGGCUUCAAUUAUAAGCGAUUAGCAGAGUAAUUGUUUUGUUUAGGAACAAGAAGGAAUUAAUCAAAAUUUUCCUUUAAUAGUAAUGCUGCAGUUUCCCCAAUUCUCGUAAAACCAGUAUAGGACCUUCAGGUUCAGUUGAAAUUUUCUUAUGUCUGUGGGCUUCAGUGGUCAAAAGGAUAUGGCUACAAUCACUAGAAUUAUAUGAUACUUAUUAAUGAGCUGUCAAAUUAACACCUUAUAUUCUGCGUAGAAUAUAGUUGAGAGAAAGAGAGAGUGAACAAUUUUAUGUUGAUAUCGAUGUGAUUAUGUUAACUAGUUGUGCUUUCUAGUAGAUUUGUCUAAGUUUGAAGCAAAACAAUUUACGAUCAAGAAGAAAAGCCAGGGCAUUGGAUGAUAGAAGGUUGACUUGUGACCUGUCAACAGCUUAUUUUGUUUCGUCUACAGAUUUCUAAUGCUAUCGCCUUUCUAGUGUGCUGCUUUGGCAAUUGGACAAGCUAGAAUCCCAGGAAGUGGACCCUACAUCUGAUGUUUAUCCUCUUUAACUUAAUCAUUCAUGUAGCACUUAAAAAAGACCUUGAAGAUUCAAUAUAAUUUAUGUAGUGAUAUUAAAUUAGACCUCUGAUUAUACUAAUAGGAAAUUAUAUGCUAAACAUAGUUCAUGUGAAAGUAAGGUGACAAGUUAAUACUAAAUAUAACUUUAUGAGUACAUAUAACAUUAUGAUAGUAUGUCAAGGUGGUGAAGCUAACAUUUGGUUACACAAACAUCUCUCUUUAGAAAGGUGCAUAUAUUGAUGUGUAAAAUUCCUCAUUCUUACACCAGCUACUCAUUAUAACUUGCAGUGUGAUGAGUAUCAGUAAGAAAGAGAAUUGAGAGAUAUUACAAAGCAUAUUAUUGAACAAUAUUAUGUGAGAUUGUUGAAGAGCUAUCUUAAUUUUUUUUUGACACAUGAUGAUCUUGUCCUUGUCCUUGUUUGUCAUGGUGCUUAAGUGGGUAUUGGCCUUUUUCAUGCUUUUGUUGUAUCCUUGUCUUGUGGUCUAAUCCUGUACUCCAUUACUGAAAAAGGCAUCCACUGUAAUGGAUUCUGAUGGUAAAAUUUUACCUAAUUUGAGUAACCACGAAGCUCAAUUUAAUUGAUGGGGUGUGCUAUAAGAGGUUAAAGUUUUCACCAUUCAAAACCAGGAGCUAGGAAUGGGACCUCACAACCAACUUGAUUUCUUCAUGCACUACCUUUUAGUGAGCAUAUGGGUUAUGAGACGAAUAUUAUCUACCAAUGCCCAUCAGAAGAGACUUUUUGCAUUUUACUAACCCUUGAACUCUACAGUAAGCUGGAAGAGGAGAGAACGCAGGAAAAAGAAUACCAUGGGUAUCAUUUCGUGUAGCUGAAGAAUCUAUUGACCAAGUGAUUUAUCAUCUUUUAUAUAUCUGCUUGCUUGUGCUGAGAUGGAAAAGGAAACACUGAAUGGACCAGUAAAUGUUCAAUGGGUUCCUCAAAAUGCAUUCGUAGACACUGCUAUCGAGUCGACUUUUGUAAUACCGAAACAAGCUAGUGGUUUAAAUCUCACAUUUAAUGCGUGCAUCAGGUAUAUGUAGCACUACUCUAUAUAAAAACAAUACUGUUCCUUUGAGACUUUGAGUACUCUAGAAACAGGUUUAAGAUCUUGCCAUAAUAGUAGCCAUAACCCAUCCUUUUUUACACCUUUUUUAUUGUUAACUUUGACCAUGUUGUUUAGAUUAGUUAACUUCUAAUUUGUACCUGAUUCUAUUUAAUUUUGAACUUAAAAAGUCAAAAUGCAAUAAAUUGGUAGAGACAGAUGAGAUUCAAAUAUUUGAAAACGACUUAAAACCAUCGACGAAUCCAAAAACAAAAAAAUCGAACCCAUGGACCCGAAAUCUCCACCCCGUGGGAACGUGCUUGGAAUGGGCGGGGCCCACAACUCCCAGGGUUCCACCUGUGAGGGUCAAUAACGGGCCGGGUAUGGCCCAUUGUUAGCCCAAUUACUAUUCGAUGGACCUAAACCAGGCCUAGAAUAGCUCCGAUCCAUUAGAGACCCAAAUACCUUCUCAUUUCACGAUACUCUUACGCAGUUUAUCGAACGUUCUCGCGCUUUCUCGCUCGAGCUUUUCCCGACUCCUCCCUUCUCCAAACAACUUCUUCUAAUCAAAAGAAGGCGAAUACCACGGAAUUAAUUGUGGCAAUGGCGGAGAACUCCUACUCUCUCUUUUCUCAAUGUUCCCUCUAAACCCCUUGCGACGAGGUCGACUCUCGAAACCCUAUCUCUCCAAAUCCCUCAUCUUCUUUUUUCCUUAAAAUUGUACAGUUCCUCUCACGCGUCUCACAAUACUCUCACUAUGCUAUUGGUUUUUUAUUAUUAUCACAUUGGAAUGACUCAAUGUUGAAGUUAACAGUAGAUUUUCUUUUCUUUUCUUUUCUUUUCUUUUCUUUUUUUCGGUUUUUUGUGAGAGAAAACGAUGGACAUUAAAUAAGCUACAAGAUGAGAAUGCACGCACUACUGGGAAUCGAGCGGGAUCAACUCGUGCAUAAGAGUUUCUAUACACGGAUUUGUAGGGAACCCACACCAAUGUAGUAGGGCCCUAGUAAUCAUUUAUGAUGAGACAUUGAGCUCUUCACAAAUGAUGUUGAGAUCAAAAGGGGCUUUGAGGUUUGAGAAGAUGAGGAAGUUUUGUCCCCAUCACAUGCUCUCUAAUGAUCCUGUUGACACCCAUUUGUUUCUUGUGGUCAAUUAUGACCCCAACAAUCAACCACUAGCUAGUACGUUUCUGCAAAUUAAUAAUUGCUUUUGAGUCCUAACUAAAGCAUGUUGAUCGUCCUAGAUGUCCUUCUCUUGUUGAGUGCAUAUAUUUAAAUUAAAAUUCCGGAUUCCUAAAGCUAAUUCCUAUUAGUUUCUUACAUUUUUAGUACUCUCUAAAGAUGGCCCUUUAUGUUUACAUGAUUUUCUUUUCGUAGUUUUUAAUACAUUUGCUUAGUGCCCUUUGUUGCUACAUUUCUUGCAGAGUUUUACCCCCAUAAAAGUCCUAAGAAGAAACUUACGUCUUGAAUUUGCUUAUCAUACGUUAGUAUUUCAAGAAGAUCUACUGAAAGGGCAAAUUGCGGUUGAUCUCGUCGCACAGAAAAUGCCACUAUUUCGAAUUGUGUAAAUAGUUAUCAUUGUUGCUUGUUUAUCUUCACGUUGGCGACUGUUUUCAUGCAUUUAUUUUCUGUUGCUUUCUACUUGAUGAUAGUUUGCGCUUAUCCGUUUGCAGACGAAAUCUCUAAUUUAAAGAUGUGGGUACCCUCUAAAGCUGUAUGUUUAGUGCCAAUGCUCAACUCCUCUUAUAAUAAACUACCAGUCUAGGUACGCCUCCUUGUGGCCCUGCUCCAUCAUGCAUGUCAUGUGGAAUCCCCACUAGAUUUUACAAUCAUUAGCUCAACAGGAUAUCGAAGAUUAUAAGAUCCGUCCUAGUGCAUCAACUUUGCCGCAUCGUAUUACAUAUUUCUUGUGGAAAUUUUCGUAUUUAGCAUUUAUAGUUUCGUAAUUUCGUGUACUGGUCCCUGAACUUUUCGCUUAAAAUUAAAAGACGUUGAUCUCCAAACUAAUAUUUUGUCAAUCACAUCUGUGCGCUGCUACUUGUGCAAAAUUCUGCAAUCUGUUAUCUUAUUCGCUUAUCACUUGUGACAUUUUUCGUGGACCAAUUACUUGGAGCAUGCUAAAAUCUUCAGUUUAGAGGAAAAGGGUCAUGCACAAAUGCAUCUUCUUAUAAGUUAGAGACUUUGGAUGGCAAACUGCGCCAGAAAAUGUAGAACAGUUCAGGGACUAAAUUGUUUAACUAAAUUUGUUUUUUUUUUUUUACUAAUAAAAGCUGUAACACAAUUUAGCGGAACGUUUCCUAGACUCUAUGUACAGAGCAACCUUAUAUAUUUCAUGGCAGGGACCAUCUCCACUGCAAAUUCAUUUCACAUGAGGCUUUUUCUUCUUUGGUCCAUGAUGAGAGCUAAUGGAACUAUGACCUUUUCUCUUGUAGAUGGAUGGGUGGGUGGGUGGGUGGGUGGGUGCAUGAUCUCAUCUCACUUUCUUUAUGAUGAUAAAGAAGGGUGGUGGGACAAAGUUGACGGUGAAAGCGACUUUACCCAUCAUCAAUAGAUCCCUUCUACAUCCCUCUCACAAAGUCUCAAUCGCCCCUUAGUUUUCGAAAACUUUAUCAACAGAAAUUAUCUUAUUCUGGGCGAAAGAGUCGCGCAAAAACGGUAGUAAUUAAAAAAUCUUCCUCCCAGUGACAAAGUCGUCCAUGCAAUUCGACUCAUGAAAGGCAUCAGCAGAAGGUAAUUUCACAAAUAACUGUGUCUCAUUGUAGCGAUCUGACCAUGCUGACAAACUAAUGUUUACUGUCAGAUUAACUAGUAAAUUGUAGCACAAUACUUGUCUAUACCAUUGUAGUUACUACUGCAUUCAGAUAUUAUCUGUUGCUAAAAGUAUGCCUAUUGGUAACCCAAAGAAGAAGAAGAAUCAAAUCAAAUUGUUAAGAAUAUUUAUGAAAUGUUGUUAUUAUUAUAUUUUUAUUUUCUCUUGGGCGGUGUAGUUCCUUAUCUUACCCACCUUAUCUCUAUUUCUGUCUACAUGAUGAUGGAUGAUUGAUGUUAAUUGUUCUCCCUCCACUUAACAAAACAGAAAUGUCCUUUCUGGAGUAAUAGGGUGUGCCAUAAGCCGCCCUCGUGAGUCGUGAUCAUAUAAACACCACUUUGUUUAAAUGUUGAAGGCAAAUCUUAUUCAACCAACUUUUGGCGACUCAUGAGAUGAUUGGAUUGGACGGUGGUCCUUCAAAAUUGGAAUUAAUUAUUAACUCAUUGUGAAAUAAUCGUUAUACUCUAAAAAUUUAAGCUGUUAGAGAACGGUGUUUAAAUAUUUUUUAUAUUUAACACUUUUCCUCACGCCUGGAUUCGAGAUUUUUUAGAACGGUGUUUAAAUAUUUUUAUAUUUAACACUCCCCCUCACGUCUGGGCUUGAGAUUUUUUAGUCGGCUCAUGACGUGAGCUUGAAUUAAAUGGGAGGAAAUUAAUAUGCUAGAAGUCUGAUGUGAUUCGAACUCAGGACCUUCGGCUCUAAUAUCAUGUGAAACAUCCGUUGUACUCUAAGGUACCGUUUGAUUCAAGUAUAAGCAAGGACUAGUUAUUACAGAAAUAGAUAUAAGUGUGGGGAUAAGAAAAAAAGUGUUUGGAUGAAAAUUGGGUUGUUUCCGGGGAUAAGAAAAAUAGCGUUUGGAUAGAUAAUAUGAAAUAAGAAAAAUAUUAGAUAAUUUUAUAUAGAAAAUGGAGGUGUUGGUGGGAAUAAUUAUAACCGGUUAUUAUAGGUAACCGAGAAUUACUGUUCUCGGGUAAAAAAUUAGUAUUUGGAUGUAAAGGGGGGAUACGGGCGUAUCCCUAUCCCUAUCUCGUAACCAAACACUGCCUAAAAGCUUAAGCUGCUAGAGAACGGUGUUUAAAUAUUUUUAUAUUUAACAGAAAUUUAUUAUUAUUAAGUUACAUAAGUACCCUCGUAAAAAUUAGAUAAAUUAUGCUGUGAACAAUUAAUGAUAAAACUAAGAGGGUGAGAAUUUCAAAUAAAUUGUUCUUUAUUGGUGCGUUGAAAUUUGUGAUCAAUUUAAGCACAUCCAAGUGUCUCAUUUGCUGUUUUAUUCAUUAAAGUCAUUGGCUUUUUUUUUUUUCUUUUGAUAAAAACAUAUCUUCUAGUAAGUAUAUACGUAUGAGCUUACAUAAUGGGAAGUUUGUAUCGUCUCAGUUAUAGUAUAUUAUAUACAACAAUAAAUAAGAAUUCUGAGCUCAAUCAACGAUAGGGAUAACGUGCAAAAAUGGUUAAAUCCAUUGUUUUCAAGCAUUAUUUAUUACCAAUGCCAAUUUUAUUUGUUAAAAUAUUUUAUCCAUUUAAAAAAAAUCUAACAAUUCUUUAUUUAUAUUAAUAUAACAUUUUUAAUUUUCAAUUACUGUGGCUAUUAUUUUAUAUAUUAUUGAAAUAAUUAUUAGGACAUAGCACUACUCUUAUGGCACUAAUAUUCUUUCGUUCCGGUUGAUAAUAAAAACUUCAGAUAAGUUUAUUGAAUAUUUUUGUAAUAUUUUUUAGUCUUAAUUUUAUCACUGAUUUAACAAAAAAAAUAAUAAAAAAUAAAAUUAUGAAGUAUUAAAUUAAUAUAUUUUAAAUCAUAUUAAAUUAAAAAAGUGCAAAAUUACAUAAAUAUUAUUUGAAGUUCUUUUUUACAUUAAAUUUUAGUGUUACAGAGGAAACCGACAAACCGUUACUUGAGAAUAGUAAUUGCUGACUCAGCUAUCCGACGUGGCUAAAAUGGCCCCCACCGCGCCUGCGCGGCUUAAAUACAGUUACGAGUGGUUUCACGUCCGGCAAGGAGUUCAGAGAGGAGUUUACACGACGCGACUCGAGAGCUUUAGAAAGGCCGUGAGGAACAAAAAAAUAAAAUUUCUUUUCCGCGUCGCUUCGCUCGAGCUUGGGCUCUCGCUUGCCCCCUUCUCUCCUCCAUUCCGAAACCCUAGUUCAUAGUCGUCUCCUCUUCGAUCUCUUCUCCGGAGCUUUUUGCGCUCUUCUCUGUAGUUUGGAGCUUCGAGGUAAGAAUCGACACUAACUGGUCUUCGUUUCUGGCUAUGAACUUAGCUGUUAAUUGUGAGAAUUGGCGAUUUCUCCGUUUGAUUAUCUGGUAUUCCGGAUUUGAUCUCGUUUUCUAAAGGUAGAUUCGUUUGUUUUCGUAGGAUCUUAAAUCUGAAGCUCUGAAUAUCUGCUUUGAUUAUUGGUGGGAAUUGGGAGAGGAUUUGGGGGCCUUAAGCAUGUUGCCGCGUGAAAAGAUUGCUGAGUUUGAUGUUAUUUGAAGCGAAAGGAAGCGGAAGUUGGAAAACUAGUGGUUGGAAUGGAAUCGGCUUGAUAGAAUUAUAACCAAAUUUAUGAAAUUACUGAUACAAUUUGUAUUAAAACUCUUGCUGUAAGCCUUUGAUUUACCGAUCCGUGGGUUCGGUUGUUGAAUACGCGGUUAGAUCGUCGUUAUUUGACUUCGCCAGCUCUAUGACUAAUUUCUUGCCCCUUCUGUCAUUGAGUUGUGAGAUAAUUAUACCUGUAUAGAUCUUGGGGGUUAUUUAACCUGUGAUUUAAAGAGUAGUUGGGUACCGAGAAAAGCAAAGACGGAGAAAGAGCGAGUUAUGGCCUUUUUGAUGCUUGGUGCCACCGGCCCUCCCAUCAAACGAAGAGCUGGUUUGAGAAUUAAACAAGCAGGGCGAGGAUCUUACCGAGGCAGCUAGGUUUUCCAUCGUGGUCUAGAGCUUGCCUUGAACUUUGUUUUUGGGCUGUAUUAGCGAUGGGGUCAGCUAAUGCUCUGAGGCAGUUGUUGAGGAGCUUGUGCUGCAGCACCCGGUGGAAAUAUGCAGUCUUCUGGAAACUAAAGCAUGGAUGCCAUGAGUAAGUUGUCUAAUUUGUUCUCUAAUCAGAAUUCUUCCCUCUGUUCUUUGAGUUUGAAUUCCUAAUAUGAGAACAAGCUAGUGUAUAAACUGUAUGAUGUACCAAUACAUGAUUGGCUGGAUAUGGAACUCUUACUCUUUAUUGCAUGACACAUCCCUUAAAUCUUAGCUUAAAAUUUCCUAUCAAACUGCUAACCUAUGUUGCUUGUUUCUCCAGUAUAUUGACUUGGGAGGAUUGCUAUGUGGAGAAUACAGAAUUUGAUCUUACCAUGGAAGAUGCUUAUGAUGGGUUUCUUUAUGCUAAACCUGGAAUGAUAACAUUCAGCAGUAAUAGUGGUGCCCAGGGUGUGAACUCUGUACGGUGUCCCAUUGAAGAAGUUGUGUCAAACAUGUCCUGCCGCCGGUAUUCUCUUGGAGAGGGGUAAGCAAUAGGUUGUUUCAUCUUAACUUAUAAAAAUCAAGGAUGCUGAAAUGUAUGACAUACCGUAAUAACACUACCUCAUAUCCACAUAUUACUUGUCUUGUGGGAAGUGUCAUUUUGGAGGUGGUCAAGUUUUUUGUCAUGGUGCUGCUCUCCUUACUAAACUAAGCUGGUUAUGUGUAGUUGCAUUUGCCUUGAGAAAGUCUUUUAGCUUCAGAACUGAGCUAUGUGCUAAUUGAACAGGAUUGUUGGUAAAGUGGCACUCACAGGAAAGCACCAAUGGAUUUUUGCCAGCGGAUCCCAUUCUACAUUACUAUCCAGGGUGAGCUUGUUAUCAGCCAGUUUUUCUUUCAACAAUUGACACUGUUGUCUGCCUUUACAUCAGUCACAAUGGGGAUUAAGGUACUAUUUUAACUUUUUUACAGUGUUUCGAGGACUUGCAGCUUCAGUUUGCUGCAGGGAUCAAGGUAACAGUUAUUGUAUUCAGCCUUUUGCUUUGAUUGUCGAUUUGUUUCCUUUAGCAUCUCCAGUGAAAGGUUCUUAGUCGCACGAUCUAACAAUCCAUAUGCUGGCUUUGCAGACAAUUCUCCUCAUACCUGUUGUCCAUCAUGGGGUUGUACAACUUGGCUCGUUGGAUACAGUAUGUAUACUAAUAUACCUUCACAUUAGGCAAUGAUUGUAGGACUAGAAGCAUAGAGCCCUAUGCUAAUAAAGUUAAAUAGCGGAUUGAUAUCCUGUUUCUAAUUUACUUAAUGUUCACUUGCAAAAGCUUUUAGUCAAAGAUGCUUUACAGGUACACAGCUGAAUCUAAAAUUAUGGUAGGACUAGAAGCAUAGAGCCCUAUGCUGAUAAAGUUGAAUAGCUGAUUGAUAUCCUGUUUCUAAUUUACUCAAUAUUCACUGGCAAAGCUUUUUAGUUAAUGGGCUUGAAUGGUUAGUAAUCUGAAUUAGAUGCAUUCUUUCAACAUCUCAACUACUAGUCACAGGAGGCAUAGGGCUUGACGGUUUGUAUCCAAGGUACCAAGUUUGAAGCGUAAUUGCCUCAUAUUUCUAGCUAAGUUCAUUUUCCAAAAAAAAUGAACGAAGCGGGUAGCAUGCUACCUUUCUCUCAAAAGAAAAAAUCAACUACAUUUGGCAUUUUUAGGAUAUGGAAUAGGUAGAAAUCUUGCAAAUCCUAUGUCAGGUUCUUCAUGUUCACAUUGAUCUCUGUUGUCUUUUUACUGCUUAUGGAUUUUUUGUCUUAUAACUAAAUUAAUCUAUGAGGGCAUGUUUCUUCUUUUUUCUUUUUCAUGUCAUUUAUCAUCUUAUUGACCUUAAAUCAUUCCGCCUCAUACAUUGUUUACUUUACCUUCAAAGCUUCAGGCCUGGGAGGAUUCAGCUAUAGUGGAGCAUAUAAAAGGUUUAUUCUGUAGGUUUUAUCCAAGUUCGGGGGCUUCCAGUUCUUCAGCCGCUGGCUCUGUACAACUCACUGCACCUCUACCACUAGAUUCUAUAGAUGCUACAGCUGGUGACUUUCUUAAUCAACAGGUUUUAACUACUGGAAAUCUGCCACUUUUCAUGGUUCAAGCUGAUUCUAUACCGCAAAAAGAUGCUAGUGAUCCAACAUAUGACAUCGACAAAACGCCUUAUGCAAAUAGAGUGAUGAAGGUGAAUCAGAGUGAAUAUUGUUCAGAUCAUAUUGAUGAGCCCAUUUUACUGACACAUUCUGACAAGAUGCUUGAGAGUAAUAUGACCAGUUCCUUCUUUUUUGAGGAUGAAAGCAACUUGUUUUCUCAGCCUAAUGCCAUUGAAAGUGAAGUGAAUUAUAAGGACUAUGGAUUUUAUGCCACAGAGUAUAGUGCUUAUGGUCAUUUCAAUGCGAUGGAUUUUAUAUAUGAAUAUGAGAAAGGGCACACUGGCAUGGCUGUUUUUCAAAAUGAAAAGGACUUAUCUUUGAACUUCCCUGUUGGCUCGGAGCUACACAAAGCAUUUGGGGUUGGCUCCGUAAAAGAACAUGAUGAUUUCUUAUGGUGCACUACUUUAUCAGAGGAAGCGAAUACAUUUCACACAAAUGAAAAUGAUGUAGAAAGUAUCUUGGAUGCAAUGCUAGGCAAUCAACAUGACGCCUUGGAUGAUACACCUGAGGCAUCAUUACACAUAGCAUCUUGUCACACUUUAGAAAAUUUUGGAGAUUCUUGCCUCACACAGGCUAAAAUUGAGGUAGACACCCUGAGCCUAGAAGAUUCAGUGCCUGUGAGUUUAAUAAAGUCUGCUUCCAUCUCCAUGAGCGGACGCUUGACAACUUCUGCUACUGAUUCUUUGCCAAAGAGCAUCUCACAGUCAGUCAGUGGAAAACAAGGUGAUAGCACUAUAUAUAAAACAUUUGGAUCAAAUUCAUCCCAGAGUAGCAAAAGAAAAGGUAGAAAUAAUAAUUUUCACAGACCAAGGCCAAGGGAUAGACAACUGAUUCAAGACAGAAUUAAGGAGCUGCGUGAGCUUAUUCCAAAUGGAUCAAAGGUAUGCCAUUUAUUGUGCCUCUUCAGUAUUUUAAAUUUACGGUUAGUGUAUGUGGAUCAUAAUUUGUGCUGUAGGAGCACUACAUUGUUUCAUUAUCAUACAUAGCCUAGCAGCUCUCAGAACAUGAGUUGUGGCAUUCUAUUUAAUGAAAUUUUCUUCUGUGUCACAGUGUAGUAUUGAUGCUCUGUUGGACAGAACAGUAAAGCACAUGCUGUUCCUGAGAGGUGUUUCUAGCCAAGUUGAAAAAUUGAAACAAGCUACGAGCUGUAAGGUACAUAAAUCUUCUUUUCCCAACCCCCUACCUUGUAACCUGCUCUUGUAUCAGUACUUAACCGUCACAGCUGAAGGUAUUACUUGUUCUUUAGAUUCCUAGUGAAAUACCGUUACCUGAUUGUACAUAAAUGCGUUUACCAAAAAAGUUGGAUGGAACUUCGUAAUCAUUCGAACUUUAGAAAUCAUUUGCUCCCCUUCGGUUUUGCCAUCCGAGCGGAAAUAUAUAGACUAGCUGGAAUGGGAUUAGCACCAACAUAACGGGAGCAUGUGUAGAACUGAUAGUAAUGGGAAGUAGUUUAGGGUGUAGAACUGAUAGUAACGGGAAGUGGUUUAGGGUGUUUUAUUGUGAAACAACCGUUGUACUCUAAAAGCUUAAGCUGUUAGAGAACGGUGUUUAAACAUUUUUAUAUUUAACACUUCCCCUCACGUCUGGGCUUGAGACUUUUUAAUCGGCCCAUGACGUGGGCUUGAAUUAAAUGGGAGAAAAUUAAUAUGCUAGCAGCCUGGCAUGACUCGAACUCAGGACCUCCUGCUCUGAUACCAUGUGAAACAACCGUUGUACUCUAAAAGCUUAAGCUGUUAGAGAACGGUGUUUAAAUAUUUUUAUAUUUAACAUUUAUUAUGCCUUACAUGUUGGAUUACUGUCUUGUCUCUGAAUCAGCUAAAUGGACAAAAUCAAGUGAAGGUUUAACCUGGUAUCAAGAUUAAUCUAAAGAUCCAAAUUUGAUAGCAAAACACAUGGGAGAACUAAUGUUUUGUUGUUCAUUCUUUCGUUAUUUCCCUUAAGUUUUUUUUUUUUUUCCUUAUUUUUUUUGUAUGUCUGUUUUCUUUUUGUAUGUCCGUUUUCUUACAUUUUUUGCAUUCAUUAAACAUGAAACUAAAUCCCUUCUCCUCCUCAAUCUUUUCUCUUAACUUGCGAAAUUAGUGACAUUGGGUUGCCAUCUAUUACUAAUCACUUGUUUUUGAGAGACCAGGCCAAAAUUGCUGAUGGGCCUUCGGGUAAACACCCUACCCACCAAAGUGGAGCCACCUGGGCCUACAAGGUGGAGAGCCAACAGCCUGAUAAGCGUCCUCCCUUAAUAGUGGAAGACCUUGAACAACCAGGCCACAUCCUCAUAGAGGUAGUAUAUCAUGCAACGAUACUUCAAUAUAUAUAUAAUUAUUGUUACCUGACAUUCUAAGUGCUGUUCCUAAAUUCCUUCCUUCUUGCGCUUCAGAUGCUUUGCAAGGAGUAUGGGCUCUUUCUAGAAGUUGCUCGGAUUAUCAAGGGACUGCAGCUGACUAUCCUCAAGGGAGUGUUAGAAAGUCGGUCCGAUGACAAUCUCUGGGCUCACUUCAUCAUCGAGGUAAAAAAAAAUACAUAUAGCAUUAUCAAGAUCCAUCUCUUCAUUCAUUGUAACUUCUUCUCCUUGAUUCUUCUUUUCCUUUUCUUUUCUUUUUUUCGCUUUGUUUAAAACAGGCAUACAAAGGCUUCCAUCGGAUGCAUAUCCUGUGGCCGCUGAUGCAACUGCUGCAGCAAAAUUAACAGAGCACUACCUACCUCUUCAAGAUGUAAACUUUUCGAGACGUUAGAAUGUGUGCUUAAACAAAUUGAAAUGUACAAUAACUAAUAGCACAAGCUGUAUUAAACACCAGGGAUGCAAUCGACCGUACACUACUAAGUUAUCAAGACCUCGGAAAGAAUUGAAUACAUGCAUGCGCAUGUUGUGUGCAUUUACUGCUAUUUACAUGUGCGCCAUUCAACUUGGAGCUACUGCAACCUAACACUGAAUUCUUACAAAAUUGUGAGAAGGCAUUAAAUUAAGUACAAUCGGCGAUCAAGUGGGAGACUCUGCGAGCACCAAUGUAUGCCACCAACCGCAUGAUAUGUUCAGCAGGUGGUAUGUCUCCAUGGGAACUUGAGAUGGUAUGUUCCUGUCGAUCGCAUCACCCAAGCCAAGCUGUGGAUGUAACUUGCAUGAAACAAGUUUCUAAUUCUAUAAAGGGUGUUGCAGAAAAAGAUUUAUUGUUGCUAGUAUCACAAAACCUAGGCAGCAGAGCAAACUCACAGAGAGAGUUUGAAGGAGUAACAAAAGAUGCAUACAAAAUCCAGUAUAUGUUAAUGAUAUAGUCAGCAUGGAUGUACCAAAAAAUAUAAACAUAAUUUGCAGAAUGGAUGAUGACAGGUAAAGCAGUACCUGGCCAUAUUUGUUCCAUCCCCAGCAAAACACUUCUCCGUCAUCUGCAUGAAUAGCAUAAAAUUGUGUAAAUCUUACCCGACAAGAUAUGCAAAAUAUAAGGUGCGAUACACAAUUCUACUUCCGCCGUCAUAAAGUAAGAAUGAGUUAUGAUUGUGCUUCAAACAACAGUAACAGACUCCCCACCCCGGCGGACUAUUGCCAUAUUCAUCUGCGAGUGCUUCCAGAAGAAGUAGCAAAAGACUAGGGAGUUCUAGAUCGAUAGGUGAUCCCGGUAGAACUACUCAACCAGUUAUAGCUUUCGCGAGUCAUUUGUCUAAUUUUGAUCUCACCACUGUUCGACAUGAUUAGUUGAUCUUCUAUUGCUACCUUAGAAUAUCGUAAUGUAAUACCUGUAAGCAUGGCAGUGUGGCGUGCUCCACAAGAGACGGCUCUUGCAUUCUUGUUCUCCAAGCAUGACGCAUCUACUAGCUUUGGAAGAGUCUGAAAUACAACAAGGUCACAUUACUCGAGGGGCUUAAGUGCAAAAUUACUUAAACAGGGAUUAAAACACGACACUAUACCUCAGCCUGAUCAGAACCUGUUCCGAGUUGGCCAAACUGAUUGCCACCAAAUGAAUACACAUCCCCGUCGACCGACGUACAUACUGUGUGCCAUAAUCCAGCUGCAAUUCCUUCAAUCUUGACGCCCAAAAGGGAGGACACGCAUAUCGGACUUAGCUCAUCAUCUGUACUACCUUGCCCACACUGGACCGAGAGAAGAUAAUAAGAGGGAAAAAAGAAGACAAAAAAACAAAGGAGAAAGAAAAAGAAAAAGCAAGAAGUAUGUGAGUCCAUCGAAUGCACUAAAGUUCACAUUAUAAGAAAACAUCUAAGAGAAAAGGCAGUUUCUUGUGUUACAAGUGGACCUCAUCUUCAACAAUAUAGUGUCUUUUCUCCCAUCUUUUCUACAAUGCCUACAGAUACAAGUUAAUAUUUUGAAAAUUACAGUAUAGCUGAGUUGUAAUUAAUAACAUGCUUUGAACUAAAAGAAACAGUGAUGUUGCAUCAUCUAUAGAAUGUGAUAAUAUAUAAGUAAAGAAACGAAAAAAAAAUUCACAAGUUGGCUUAGAGUUUAUUCUAACCAUAACAAAGAUACAUAACGUGAACAGAAAGAGAUGGGACUAAAAUCCCAUGAAGUCGUGGAUCAAUGAAAGGUUUGCUAAUCACUAAUAGAUGGAUCAGAUAUUAGAUUUCAGUUCUUAAACCACCUUGAGAGUUGUUAUCAUGAGCAUCAAAACAUGAAUCACAUGCAAUUUAUGUAGUCAUGAGGAACUUGAACUUUCACAUUCUUAAACCACCUCGAGAGUUGUUAUCAUGAGCAUCAAAACGUGAAUCACAUGCAAUUUACGUACUCAUAAGGAACUUGAAGUUCUACAGGCAUCAUAGAAGGAACGAUACUUGAUACUUGUCCCACUAGAACAUAUUGUAACUAGAGCGAAAAAAAAAGAAAAGAAAAAUGGAAAAGACACAAGCGUUGUUGUGUUUUUGCACAGAUCUAAAGAAGUGACUCUCAGGUGAAGAGCUUGUAAUGAUUCAGGAAGGUACACUUUCUGAUUUUACUAGCUUAUAUCAGGGAAUUGUCGAAAGAUUGCAACAGAGAAGGGAGCUAAUUGACCAUCUAAGUAAACAAAUCACAAGAGGCCAAUAGACAAAAUGUUUAGAGGUCAGAACUACUCAACAAAAGAGGUGAUAGCUUUACUUUCCAUCAUACGAAAAAUAUACCAAGAGAUUUUCACUACAAUUCAACUGCUAAAGUGUAAUUAGCUUCAACUGUCAGACAAUAAUUACUUUGCUAACGUAUAGGAAGAGGUUGAGGGAAAAUUACUACAAAUGAUCAAUGGCUUGGGGAAAAAAAACAAUGUUCAGAAAAAGUAGCUAUUUUAUAAACAACAAGAUAUAUUACAACUAAGCAUUGAAAAAGAGAUUAGUCCAAGUUAAUGUUUUAUAAAGGAGAUUAGUUCAAGCCCUGAUAAAACAAUUCUCCUGAGAUAAUAUAUUUAAAAGAACAAACAAAGCCCACUGAAAGAAAAAUACUUGCUACAACCAUCUUACAACUUAGCCCUACUGCUUUUCCCACGGAGAAAAUUAUUCCACUAAUCAUGUUAAGUAAUGGAAAUAAGGUGGGACCUGACCUGUCCAUAAAGUCCCCAACCAAAAGUCAGCAGAGCACCAGUAUCUGCACAUCCAUCACACGAUAAGAAACAUAAGGUUAGACAAAAUAAUACACAAAUGAACUAUGCGAUAUUCAUCUAUCACAAUGGAACAAAGCAGAACACGGGAAUACAUGCUUUAAUUACUCUAAGGUCUUAAGCGAUCAGAAUACAACCUGUGACUGCUGCACUAUGGCGGCCUCCACAAGCAAUUGCCUUCACACAGCUUCCUAUAAGUUUGGCCUGCCCUUCUGAACUUCUAUUACCUUUUGCACUUCCUGGAGUUCGAUCCUUUCCAUAUGCAGCUGACUCAAUGCAAGGAACAGGAUGAGGAGAAGACACUGUUCGAAUUCGAGAACCUAAACCGAGUUGGCCUUCUCCCCCAUAGCCCCAACCCCAUACAUGGCCCAUAUCUGAAGCUUCAGAGAAAUAAAUUGCAUCAACUUAUGCAUUUUCGCCUUAUUAAAUAAAACAUAUAAUAGUACUGUACUAUCUGGAUAUUGUGAUUGAAUUUCUGAUCUUUUCACUAGAAUAUUUAUGUCCCCAACUUUCUCAUAUGUUGUUAUUCUAUCCUUCACCUUCCAACCCCCAACACCCCCCCCGAAACAAGUUGGAUUUUCUUCUUCAGUCAGGGUGGGGCAACAAGUUCACAGAUUAAAGUGUUAAGGUUAAAAAGUCAGGGACAAUGUCGCAACAACCGAAUAGUAGAGGAAUUGUACAUAAAUUUGACCUAAUACGAACAAUGAGAAAGCCCCCAACUGUGGAUGCAUAUUAUAAUACAACAGAGCAUCAAAUGAAAGUUACCUGAUAGAGCUAAUGUAUGGCGCCCACCAGCAGCCACUGUCACUAUUCUCACUCCUGAGCUUAGCGUUACCAGGCAAGGAGGAGAGGAGAGAGUUUCUUCACUAGAUGUUGAGCUCUCUGGUCCAACUUUAGCUGAAGAUAUCCUUCUCCUUUUUGUGCUCUCUUCACCGCCUCUAUUUUCAAAAGCAGAUACUGUUCCAGCACUUGUCCUAGAAACCUGUGACCUGGGACUCACUGCAAUGGAGUUGCCUUUAUUACAUCUGUAAACAAUUGAUAUAAAGAAGCUUACACCUUCUAUUGACAAUUGACACAAAAUUGGAUUAGUGUGUUCACCUUGGUCGCCAACAUUAUGUCUUUCAUCCUUUUCUGACGAGGUCCCUGCUGAAGGAUGGUCUGCAAUAACCCGACCAGUAGGAACACACUCCUUCCAACCCCAUGUGUACACUUCCCCAUAAGCUAGUGUAAAAAAACGUAUACAUGAUAAAGCUACUUAACAAACACUUAAAUGUGAAGAUACUAUUGUGAAAUUUUAUACUAGUACAACAUUAUAUGACGAGAGGGAACCUGUAACCGCAACACAGUGAGCCCAUCCAGCAGCUGCCUUAACUAUGGGAGCCUCAGUGGGGAGAGGAAAAGCUUCCGGAGUCUCCUGGACAAUGAAUCAGGAGGAGUCCUCAUUUAAUCGCUGAUUCAAUUCUACAAAGAGCUUGGAAAGAUGAGUAAAUCACAAGUACCUCAUGCUUUCCUGAGGUCACAUAACUUUGACCCAUCUCAUCUGCUGAACCCCAUGUAAGAAGCUUCCCAGAUUCUGAUACAAGAAGGAAUCAAUGAAAUCGUAGUUUAUCUAAAAUAAUGUAUCAAUACGGAGAAAUUAUUUCAUAAUUUGUUUCCUGAUUAUGUUUCCCCCAAUUCUGUGGUGUCAUUUUUUCCUUUCUUUGAUUGAGAUAAGGAGCUCUGUUCUGAACCAAAAUUCUUUUUCCAAGUUAGCAUAUGCAAUUGGAUUUUAUGCUACAGGGAGAAGUCCACUCAAAAGAAAAAGGGAAGAAAAAUAGUAAGAAAUGCUAUAUUCUACAGAAUGAAAACUCAGGAUAAUGCCUUCCGCGAGGUCGAGCUUAUUAUGGUUUGUGACAAAAAUAUAAUAUCGUUCGAAAAGCAAGAACUAACAACUUUUACAAGAAAAAUAGGAAGAUGUUGCCCAAACUAGUCAAUCUGAAUCAAUGACUCAGAAACAAGAAGCGAUCAAAGGCAACUUCAAGCAGAGUUCUAACUGAAACAAAAAGAGAGAGAACUUUUUCACAAAAACUUCACGAAAUAUGAGAAAAGAUUACUUGAAAGGGAGAUAACAUUGGCCCAUAAUAGGUAAAAAAAACUAAAAAGGACAUGCAAAAAAUCGCCAAAUAUGAAAGCUCAACUCGAAGGUUCAACACCAGAUCCGUACAGAUCUAGGAGCCGAUUCCCGUAUCAAACGAUCAUACAAAGAACAAUAGCCUAAAUAACUACAAAUAGACCCAAAAAACGUAUAAAUCUGAGAUCAAUACCGGAGAUAGCCAUGGCAAAGCCGCAUCCGCCCCCGGAAACAUCUUUCCACGAGUCUCCGGGCGCCGAAUCCGGCAUCGGUACCAGCACCGGGUAGAGGAGCGGCGAUCUCUGCGGCGACACCCCAGGGAGGUAUCCCCACAUCAACACCACCUUCUCCUUCUCCCCCUUCCUCUUCUCCUCCUCCUCCUCCUCCUUCCCAUCCUCCUCCAUUUCAUCCGCUCCUUCUCCUCCACCAUUCAUCUCCUCACGAAUAGCUUCGACCUCUCAAUCUCUCUCUCUCUCUCUCUCUCCGAUCUCGUCUCUCUCUCUGCGCUGCUACUACUACUACAAGUGAUCUUCGCUAGUCCUUGGAGAAAUGGGGGGGAUGAGGGGAGAAAGGGCGAGCCCUAAUUUGCCGUAUCAGUUUCAUGGGGACUGCGGGCGCCACGUCGGACGCCAACGUGGUG
rnacentral:lncRNA from 1 species